rnacentral:lncRNA from 1 species
UUGAUCUAUCCCUGUAGAUCUUAAUGCCUAGAAUGUAANNNNNNNNNNNNNNNNNNNNNNNNNNNNNNNNNNNNNNNNNNNNNNNNNNNNNNNNNNNNNNNNNNNNNNNNNNNNNNNNNNNNNNNNNNNNNNNNNNNNUACAUAUAGGCAUCACGUCCGAGACAAGUAAUUAGGACCCCGCUGCCACGGGAGGGAGAGAGGGCCAAGGCAGGGGGCCCACAGGGAGCCCACAAGCCCUGUUGCCGCGGCCAUGGGGGGCCUGCGGCAACCAGGCUUGUGGCCUCCCUGGCGGUCCCCUGCCCUAGCUCUUUGGCCUAUAAAUUCCCUAAAAAUCCAGAAAAAAUCAGGGCAUCCACGAAAACACUUUUCCGCCGCUGCAAGCUUCCGUUUCCGCGAGAUCUCAUCUGGAGACCCUUCCCGGUGCCCUGCGGGAGGGGACUUUGGAGUUGGAGGGCUUCUACAUCAACAUCAUCGCCUCUCCAAUGACUCGUGAGUAGUCCACUUCAGACCUACGGGUCCGUAGUUAGUAGCUAGAUGGCUUCUUCUCUCUCUUGGAUCUUCAAUACAAAGUUCUCCAUGAUCUUCAUGGAGAUCUAUCCGAUGUAACCCUCUUUGGCGGUGUGUUUGUCGAGAUCCAAUGAAUUGUGGAUUUGUGAUCAGAUUAUCUAUGAAUUAUAUUUUUGUCUAUGUUGAUUUCUUAUAUGCAUGAUUUGAUAUCCUCGUAAGUCUCUCCGAGUCUUGGGUUUUGUUUGGCCAACUAGAUCUAUGAUUCUUGCAAUGGGAGAAGUGCUUGGUUUUGGGUUCAUACCGUGUGGUGACCUUUCCCAAUGAUAGAAGGGGCAGCAAGGCACGCAUCGUGUUGUUGCCAUCAAGGGUAACAAGAUGGGCUUUUAUCGUAGAUAUGAGAUUGUCCAUCUACAUCAUGUCAUCUUGCUUAAGGCGUUACUCUGUUCUUUUGGACUUAAUACACUAGAUGCAUGCUGGAUAGCGGUCGAUGUGUGGAGUAAUAGUAGUAGAUGCAGAAAGUAUCGGUCUACUUGUUUUGGACGUGAUGCCUAUAGAUAUAAUCAUUGCCUUAGAUAACGUCACGACUUUGCGAGGUUCUAUCAAUUGCUCGACAGUAAUUCGUUCACCCACCAUCUACUUGCUUUCCUGAGAGAAGCCACUAGUGAACACUACGGCCCCCGGGUCUAUUCACAACUAUUGUUUCCACUUUCACUUUUACUUUGCUUCGUUUACUUUUUGCUUUCAGUUCUCACUUUGCAAACAAUCUAUAAGGGAUUGACAACCCCUUCAUAGCGUUGGGAGGAGGUUCUUUGUGUUUGUGCAGGCACUUGUGAUACUCCUUCACUGGAUCGAUACCUUGGUUCUCAAACUGAGGGAAAUACUUACCGCCGAUGUGCUACAUCACCCUUUCCUCUUCAAGGGAACACCAAUGCAAGGCUCCAAGGCCGUGGGGAAAUCCUUUGCAUAUUUGNNNNNNNNNNNNNNNNNNNNNNNNNNNNNNNNNNNNNNNNNNNNNNNNNNNNNNNNNNNNNNNNNNNNNNNNNNNNNNNNNNNNNNNNNNNNNNNNNNNNAGUUUUACAAGGUACGAGAUUGAGUAAGACUCAAUGCCCAGCAACUGAUGAGGAUAGAGAGCAUAUGCGCUCCGUCCCCCUAUGCUUCAGCCAUAGGUUCUAUCAUGUAUGCAAUGUUGUGCACUAGACCGGACGUUAGCCUGGCCAUAAGUAUGGCAGGUAGGUUCCAGAGUAAUCCAGGAGUGGAUCACUGGACAACGGUCAAGAAUAUCCUGAAGUACCUGAAAAGGACUAAGGAGAUGUUUCUCGUGUAUGGAGGUGAUGAAGAGCUCGCUGUAAAAGGUUACGUCGAUGCAAGCUUUGACACAGAUCCGGACGACUCUAAGUCGCAAACCGGAUACGUAUUUAUUCUUAAUAGGGGUGCAGUAAGCUGGUGCAGUUCCAAGCAAAGCAUCUAAUAGGGGUGCAGUAAGGUGGUGCAGUUCCAAGCAAAGCAUCGUAGCAGAUUCUACAUGUGAAGCGGAGUACAUGGCUGCCUCGGAGGCGGCUAAGGAGGGUGUCUGGAUGAAGCAAUUCAUGACGGAUCUUGGAGUGGUGCCAAGCGCACUGAAUCCAAUAACCUUGUUCUGUGACAACACGGGUGCCAUUGCCUUAGCAAAGGAACCACGGUUUCACAAGAAGUCCAGACACAUCAAACGACGCUUCAACCUCAUCCGCGACUACGUCGAAGGGGAGGACGUAAAUAUAUGCAAAGUGCACACGGAUCUGAAUGUAGCAGACCCGCUGACUAAACCUCUUCCACGGGCAAAGCAUGAUCAUCACCAGAACUGUAUGGGUGUUAGAUUUAUUACAAUGUAAUUCGCAUGAUGAUGUGAGGGCUAGAUUAUUGACUCUAGUGCAAGUGGGAGACUGUUGGAAUUAUGCCCUAGAGGCAAUAAUAAAUAUUAGAUCAUAUCCGUGUUGGAAUUAUGACCUAGAGGCAAUAAUAAAUAUAGUUAUUGUUAUAAUUCCUGUAUCAAGAUAGUCGUUUAUUAUCCAUGCUAUAAUUGUAUUGAAUGAAGACUCAUUUACAUGUGUGGAUACAUAGACAAAACACUGUCCCUAGCAAGCCUCUAGUUGGCUAGCCAGUUGAUCAAAGAUAGUCAGUGUAUUCUGAUUAUGAACAAGGUAUUGUUGCUUGAUAACUGGAUCACGUCAUUAGGAGAAUCACGUGAUGGACUAGACCCAAACUAAUAGAUGUAGCAUGUUGAUCGUGUCAUUUUGUUGCUAUUGUUUUUCUGCGUAUCAAGUAUUUGUUCCUAUGACCAUGAGAUCAUANNNNNNNNNNNNNNNNNNNNNNNNNNNNNNNNNNNNNNNNNNNNNNNNNNNNNNNNNNNNNNNNNNNNNNNNNNNNNNNNNNNNNNNNNNNNNNNNNNNNAAUAACUAUACAUUUAUUAUUGCCUCUAGGGCAUAAUUCCAACAGUCCGCCCUAUUGAGCUACAUGACAAACAGACAAGCCUAGGAGACUACUAUUACCCGACCUGAGUAAAACUACUCUCGAGGACUACUUCCAGUGGGUGCACUCGGAGUGCCCCCACUGGUACCAUUCGGCCAGAUCAGCUCUGAUCCGAUCAAGUCACGGAAAACGUAUAUAAAGACAACUGCCGGUGCAAACACUCGACACAAGUCUCGGGGACUACACCCACUGGGUUCACUCGGAGUGAACCCACUGCAAAAUAAUCCUACUGUAUCCGAGUAUAUCCGUUAAACCCCCAGUGGGUUACAAGAGGAAAGUAAACACUUACUAGCACACUUACUCGGAUAUCGUCCCGGAGUUCCAAGCUUCUCUUGUACAAAGAUGCGAUGGAGUCGUACGCUCCCUUGGCAUCACCCACCAUCAACUCCACCUGCACCAUGGCCUCCUUGGCGGCUCCCACUUGGUCUUCCUGGAGGUGUCGGCCGUCGUACUGGACGUUCGACGGACCCGGCACGACAGGAGACUCCUUGGGCAUCCCAAGUCCCGCUCCAGUCAGUUCCGUCGCGACGGGCACCGCCUCAGUCGACGGCAUCGUCUCGGUCGGCGGCGCGUCCGUGGUGGGAGCUGCAGUAGAUGGAACAGCCUCAAGGACAGGCGCCAAAGUUUGCCCUGACCCCUUCUGGUCGUCCUCCUCCAGAUGAAUCACCUCCGAAGGAAGCCCGACUGAACAACAUGAGAUUACAGAAAAUGGGCAAGAUUAAAGAGAGAACUCGCGAAACAAUAAUGCGAACUCUCGGAGUCAUCACAGCGUACCUUGCUGGGAUGUAGCAACGUUAUCCGUAUCCAUGGGAUCAUCGUCCUGGCGUGGCAGAGAGGUGGCGGAGGUAGCAGCUCUGUCGAGUAAAAUCCACUCGACCGAUAAGCAUGAGUUUAAUCAAAUACUGAAAGAAGAUAGGAGAACAAGACACUUACGCUGAGGCAACUGGAACAGCGAUCCUCAUCCGAGGCAAAGCUUUCCGAGGCUUGGACCCACUCGGUUUGGCCACCUUGGACGGUUGGUCUGUGGACUCGGCAGCAGCGUCCCUGAUCCUCUUCACGCUCCGAGCACUCGGAGCCACGGGAGGAGCUGGCGGAGCACUCGGAGCCGCUGGAGGAGCCGACGGAGUCGCGGGUUUGUGACGGCGCUUGGAUCGAGGCUCUGAUGGUGGAGGUGGCGAGCUCUGCUCCCCAGCCUCCCCCUCCUCCUCUUCGAUCUCCUCCUCCGUCUCCCCACUGUCGGAGACGUACUCGGCGUUGUCCAUGCUGCCCUCCUGGCUGCCCUCCUCUUCCUCAGCUAGAUUCCCGUUCGAGACGGGAGAAUACCAGUUGGUCCACGCCUGCACAAAAUACAGUUGACAACAUCAGAAGUCAGGCAGUGAUACUAGAAAAAAGCGAUAAAUCUAAGAGGAUUGAAAACACUCGAUAAGAGGUGCUCACCUCAUUCGGAGGAGGAUUGUCGGCGCGGAAGGGCUUCACUCGCCGGGCUCCUCUGGGAUUAUCGCAGGCGCCUGUGAUGUUGCGGACCCACGUCGUCACAACCUCCCUGGUCACGCAUUCUGGAUGAGUCCGAGUGGAGUCCCCAGGCCCCGCGUAGUGCCACAUGGCGUGGUGUCGAGCUUGCAGCGGCUGGAUGCGCCGACCCAGAAAAGUCUCCAGCAAAUCCGUGCCGGUGACUCCCUUGCGGACGACAUCUAUCAGCGCUUCGACCAGAGGUUGGAUCUGGAUCUUUUCCACCUUCGAGAGCGCAAGCUGCCUAGGAGGAGUCGGUCGGUUUAGGCUGAAAGGGGGCAGCCCGGUUGCAGCAUCGGAGAAGCGACAUCCUCGCAGUAGAACCAAGUCGACUGCCAGUUCCUAACUGACUCGGACAACUGAAGAGGGGAGUAGCUACUUUUGGUUUUCUUCUCGAAGCCUAAGCCCCCGCAGAGCUAGAGGAUAUGGGUUUUGUCGUCCGACUGGCUAAGCUUUUUGACAGUUUGGGACCUAGCGGAGAAGAUGUACUUAAAGAGCCCCCAAUGGGGGGGACAUCCGAUAAAGCACUCGCAAAGCACGACGAAUGCAGCAAGAUGGGCUAUCGCGUUUGGAGGAAAAUGAUGGAGCUGCGUCCCGAAGUGAUUCAUAAUACCUCUGAAGAAGGGGAGGGGAGGCAAGGAGAAGCCCCUGUACACGUGACUGAGCAGCAAGGCGCGCUCUCCCUCCUGCGGCGCCGGCUCCGUCUCGCCCUCCGCCGGCAGCCUCCACGACUUGUUAGCAAUCAUGCCUUGCUCCACCAGCUCCAGCAGGUCGUCCGCCGUCACCAUGGAGGGGAGGCAAUCCCCCUGGAUCCAGCCCGCCGGUAGUGCCCGCUGUCGCCGCUGAGCAGGAGCCGCUGCCGCCUUCUUCUUCUUCUGCGACUCGAGCUUGCUCGUCUGCCCCUUCAUCAUGGUGGAAGCAGCAGAUCCGCAGAGGAGGAGAGGAAGGAGGAGGCUUGGAGCGCGCAGGGAGUUACGGGAGAAGCGAGGCGAGUGCGAGUAAUCAGGGGAGCGCAACGAGAAACCCCCGCUGGAGAGGUUUAAAUAAGCUUCUGACUGGGUCACUAACAGGUGGCCCCAAAAUCUUAUCCCCCGACCUGCUGCUGCCAUAUUAGUGGAGAAGAUAAAGGCGCGGUAAUCGAGGAGGCAGAAACUACUCGAUGACGAUGUCGUCAUCCCCGCUGAGCGCGCGGCAACCGAAAUUUGAGGAUCCUAGAAAAUCCGCCGCUGUCAGUUGACCGGUCAGGUCGAAAGAUUCCACGGAAGCACUCGGUCCCUGACGGUUCGUUUCACUGAUAUAUUCACUCGGAUCACUGGUCGAGAGGAUAAAAUGGAUCGAGGCAAACAACGCCAAAGUCACAUCCAUACCAGUCGGAUCCGUACUCCAGGCAUCACUUCGUCGUUCCAACCCCGAUCCAUUCGGUGACUAAUGAUGGGGUUAUAGUCCCAGGGUAGGGUCAUAGGCCUACCCUAUAGGUCCUACCCAAGGACUACCCUUCAUAAGAAACAAGGCCCUUAGACAGUUCCGACUGAACUAAGGACUACCUUGCUACGGAUACUUUCCUACAGAUACUAAAUCUUUCAGGUGUGGUUGAAUUGACAACUCAACUGCUAAUACUAGAGAAUAUUCUUUGGCUUCCCCUUGUGUCGAAUCAAUAAAUUUGGGUUGAAUACUCUACCCUCGACAACUGUUGCGAUCCCCUAUACUUGUGGGUUAUCAUGGAGUCAGCCCAAGGGGUCCAUGGCGCCACAUAAAGAAAUACCAAAAGAAAAGAAAAAGGAAAAGGAAAAAGAGGGAGGUGGGAAGGAAGGAGUGGACUUCUUCCCCAAACCGAAUUGGGAAGGGAGUCCAGCUCCUCCUCCCUAGCGUCGGCUCACCCUUGGGGCCUUGAGCCUCAAGCCAAGCUCCCUCCCCUCCCUCCUAUAUAUAGUGGUGGUUUUAGGGCUUUUGAGACAGAACUUUUGCCACGUGCUUCCCGACCACAACCACACAGUUUUUCCUCUAGAUCGGAUUUCUGCGGAGCUCGGGCGGAGCCGUGCAGGAGUAGAUCAUCACCACCACCGGAGAACCGUCAUGCUGCCGGAGAACUCAUCUACUUCUCCAUCUCUGUUGUUGGAUCAAGAAGGCCGAGAUCGUCAUCGAGCUGUACGUGUGCUGAACGCGGAGGUGUCGUCCGUUUGGCACUAGAUCAGAUCGGAUCGUGGGACGGAUCGUGGGACGACGAUGAUUUGAAUCACAAAGUUGUACCACUACAUCAUCCGCGUUUCUUAACGCUUCCCGCUUAGCGAUCUACAAGGGUACGUAGAUCUGAAUCUCCUCUCAUAGAUGAACAUCACCAUGAUAGGUAUUGCUUGUGCGUAGGAAAUUUUUUGUUUCCCAUGCAACGUUCCCCAACAGGAUUACGGAGUGGGCCCAGAGAUGCCUCUCCGUCACACACAGUGACAAAUCCCAGUCUCGAUUCGUACAACCCAAUAGACAGUUUCGGAGAUACCCGUAGUGCACCUUUAUAAUCACCAAGUUACAUUGUGACGUUUGGUACACCCAAAGUACUCCUACGAUAUCCGGGAGUUGCACAAUCUCACGGUCUAAGGAAAUGAUACUUGACAUUAGAAAAGCUUUAGCAGACGAACAACACGAUCUAGUGCUACGCUUAGGAUUGGGUCUUGUCCAUCACAUCAUUCCUCAAUGAUGUGAUCCCGUUAUCAACGACAUCCAUUGUCCAUGACCAGGAAACCAUGAUCAUCUAUUGAUCAACGAGCUAGCCAACUAGGGGCUCACUAGGGACACAUUGUGAUCUAUAUAUUCACACAUGUAUUACGGUUUCUAGUUAAUACAAUUAUAGCAUGAAUAAUAGACAAUUAUCAUGAACUGGAAAUAUAAUAAUAACAACUUUAUUAUUGCCUAUAGGACAUAUUUCCAACACCAUCGAGGAACAUCAAUUGCAUUUUGACCCACAAGAUAAUUUUGCCUUGCAAGAAUACUUUCGACCCGCCAGCAGCCACUGAAAGUGAAGAGCUACCUUACAUGUGGGGCACGGGAACCUUCCAUGCACACACCAGCCAACGAAUAGCGCAUUUGACAAGUCAUGCAUCGAGUACAUGUACCACACAUGCAUUUUGAAGUUUUCUUUUCUAGCGGCGACAUAUGUCUUGAACCCAGCAUCCCAAGCUUCUUGCAAUUCAUCCUUAAGCGGUUGCAUGUACACAUGCAUAUUCUUCCCCGGAUUGUUGGGCCCUGAAAUUAUCAACGUCAGGAAUAUGUUCUUUCUUUGCAUAAUCUAUCCGGGGGGAGAUUGAGUAGAAUGACAAAUACAUGCCAACCAUUGUAUUGUGUUUCCAACAUACCAAAGUGAUUUAACCCAUCUGUGAUGAUGCAGACUCGAUGAUGCCUUGGAUCUGUCGCUUUAUCCGAAUGUAAUGCAUCAAAGUGCUUCCACGCAAAAGCAUUUGAUGUGUGUACCAACAUCUUAUUCCCAUCUGCAUCUAGUUCGGUUCUUCUGCCCAAUUUGUGCCAUGUCAUCUGUAUGGCCGUCUCUUCGACCAUGAAAACAUGUUGAAGUCUUGGUAUGAUUGGCAUAUACCGAAGAACAUUAACGGGGAUUUUGGUCUGCCUCUUCUCACCCAUACCAUUGUCUGCCACAACAUACGUGGAAGACUUGCAAAUGGGACAAUAGUUCAAGUACGCAUACUCAAGCCUAAAUAAGGCACAUCCUUUCUCACAUGCAUCUAUCUUCUCAUAGGGCAUCUUAAGUACACGGAGUAUUUUGUCCGACUGGUACAGGUUUGUAGGCAUGACAUGGCCUUUGGGUAGAAAGCGUCUAAAUAGUGUCAUCAUCACGUCAUAGCAUUCUCUGGCCAAGUUGAAUUGAGCCUUUAGAGCCAUUACUUGUGCGAUGGUAUCCAACUAACAAAGCUCAGUGUUCUCAUCAAGAGGAAGAUUUGAAGACUCCAACAUUUCAUAGAAGGCCUCUACAGAUUCCUCCAUCUCAUUCUCUGAAUCACGAGCAUCAUCAAAGUCUUGCACCAUCUCUUCGAUCCUGGUACCAUGCUCGUCGGUGCAACGACGAACCACCUCAACUCUUGUACGUUGGGCAGACUCACCAUGAAAUGUCCACACCGUAUAAUCAGACGUAAAACCCCUCUUCUGCAGGUCUUUACCCAUUUCAUCCUCUGUCAUCUUUUUAAAGUUGUCGCACCUAGGAUAGGGGCACCAUGUUUUUCUUUGGCCAUUUGUAGAUGAGGCUUUCAUAAACCCGUUGGUUUUUGUUAACCAUUAUUUGGUCAUCUCUUUCUGACUAGUGUGACUAGUGUACAUCCACACACGAUCACCCAUGAUGGUACUUGCCAAAUUCAUAUUCAUCAAGUUAUGUAGAAUGUAAUUGCGACUAGAUAUAGAACUAAUUGAUUUUGUUAUAUUUUUUACGCCACAAUUUUAUUUUUUUACCAUACAAAAUGGAAAUGGGCAUUCAUGAACUGAAUCUAUCUCUAAUAGGUAAAGACGUGUUCUAAUCCCACCCGAGUACGUGUAGAUCGGGUUCGUUUUCCAUGCUCUGCUCCAGAUCCAACGCAAAAUUCUGGCAACACCUCCCUGUUGUUAUCCUGAUACACGUCUCGACAACAAGCCAAGAGAAUGUGUACCCGGAGAACAACGGGGUGGCGCUGACAAAAUUUUGCCUCAGACCAAAGUAGAACACGGGAAAUGAAACCCAAUCUACACGUACUCGGGCUGUCCGUGGAUAACAUGGACAAUUCGAAAGGAUGGCGGUUAUAAAUAUGCAAAGACAUGCAUAUUUAUAGAUGCCACCAUUUUGAACGGGAGAUGCCUAGGAUACGAGACUUGACAUGAAAAUAGAAUGAAGUGACAUCGACAUGGCAACUGGAACAAAGCAAAUAGGUUAGGGUUGGGAAGGAGAUGGCAGUAGUUCUUACCACUAGACCGUGUAGGGGAGGUAGUCGCGCGGGGAGGUCGUCAAACACCAAACCCUCGAAGUGAUGAAACAACUGCACAUUUAAAUCCGCACGAUCAACACAAAUAUUAAAUCCCGAUAGGAAAAUUUCUAUAUGUAUAACUACUUUUCCACUUCUAUUUUCAUCCUUUUAUCCUCUAUUUCUUCUUAUUCUCCUAUUCUUCUUCCUUUUCUACUUCUUCUAUUUUUCUUCUUCUUCAUCAUCUUCUUCUUCGUCGUCUUCUUCUUCUUCUUCUUCUUCUUUUUCUUCUUCUUCUUCUUCUUCUUCUUCUUCUUCUUCUUCUUCUUCUUCUUCUUCUUCUUUUCUUCUUCUCCUCCUCUUCUUCUUCUUCUUCCCUUUUCCUCCACCCUCUUCAUCUAACAAUAACCUAAUUAAUACUAAACUAAGAGUAAUCUAAUUAAACUAAACUAAAAAUAACCUAAUUAACACUAAACUAAUAGUAACCUAAUUAACCUAAACUAACAGUAACCUAAUUAACACUAAGAGUAACCUAAAAUAACAGUAAUCUAAACUAACAAAUGCAAUGAAAUGAAAAAAACAAAAAAGAAAGAAGAUGAACUCACGGUGGUGGGGAGGAGGGCCGUGGUGGUGGAGGGGAGGACCGCGGGGAGGGGGCUGGCUCCGGUGGUGGGGCAUUGCCGCGGUGGGUUGCGGGUGGGGAAGAGGGAGGGAGGAGGUGUUGUGGUGGAGGAGGGCCUCCGUGGUGAAGGGGAGCGCUGUGUGGAGUGGGGUAUCCUCGCGGGGAGGGGGGUGGGGAAAAAGAGGGAGGUGGGGACGGGGGGAAGGAGGGUGGGUUUGGGUGGGGUGGCACUACCGUUAUGUUGCCAUCCUUUUUCCGUCUGCUAGCAGACGGUAAAGAGGCUAAAGGCGGAAGACAAAUAUGUCGCGGACAACAUCCAUGCUGUCGAGUUGGCCCAACGGUCCAAUGGGGCCCACCUGGUCUCUUUGCCAUGUGCCAUUGGCCUCUUUGUCGUCCGCGAGCAGACGACAAAGAACUGACCGAUGGCAAACAAUAUCUUUGACAUUAGUUAACAAUAUCUUUGCCAUCAGUUAAUUCUUUGCCGUCAGUUUUUAAAAAACUGACGACAAAGACCUUCUUUGCCGUUAGCUGGCAGAUGGCAAAGAUCUUGUUUGCCGUCAGCUGACAGACAACAAAGAAUUGACUCAUGGCAAAUUCUCUAAUUCCAGUAGUGCAACCGGCUUGUACGCUCAAGUACUUCUCUUUAUAGCCAUCGGUAGCGUGAAGAUAGUGAUGAACGGGAGAUGGGGAGCGGCGGAGGGCUGCGAUUCUUGUCCGGCAUCUAGCCUCAUUUAAAUAUAGAGCAGGCGGGAGGAGAUCGAUCAGCAUUGCGUUUAAUGUCGGCCCGCUCAUGAACGGAUGUGUGACCAGAGUAGGUUUCUCGCCUUCCACGCAGGUUUAAUGGAGGCGUUUGAAUGCGGCCAAGAGUCGUGUUCAGCCAGACGUGCAGCUGGCCGGCACCCUUGGCCGAUGGACCGCUUCAAUGGCAAAUGCAAUGAGAGGUUGUGGCCGUUGUGAACCGCUUUCAAUGUGAAGCGGUGCACUCUACAUCGGCAUGAAUGCGGAAAGCACACGCAGGAGGGGAAGGUCUUUUUAUGGGCCAAUAUGAUUAGAAGCGGGCUUGGAAUCGGUCCGGACUUCGACAAACUUUCUCAUAUUUACGAAAGAAAACGCGUCCAAAUCGCGUUGCAGACUGAUAUAGGGCCUGUUUGGGACUGCUCUGCUCCAGAAAAUUCAGCUCCGCUCUAGAAAAUGUAAGCCAAACGGGGUAGCUCCAUGAUAUACCGCUCCGCAAAAAAACUAGAAUCUGAGGUCCAACUCCUUUUUUUGUGAAGCUCUCUAGGAGGUGCUCCAUAAAAUUAUAGAAGGCGAGUCCACAUCUCAAAGGCAGUAGGAAGGCCCAAAAACUCAUAGGCAAAUUGAGGCAGAACACUAGCAGUGAGAACAGCUACAGCACGAGCAUCAUCAUCAAGCCACUGGGUGUAAGCGGACACAGCACCGUGAUACACCUGAAGAGCCUCCUCAUAAGCCAAGACCUUCUCAUCAUAAGCACUCACAGUGGCCUCAUCAUCAAGCUUAGCCGCAUCCUUUGUGGCCUGAGGAGCAUCCGCGGGAAGAGCCGGUGGGGUCGGCGGAGUAGGAGCCAUGGGAGGAACCGGACGUGGCAAACAACAGACCUCGCCAGAGAGAACUCAUCAGAGACGGAUGCCACGCAUGUGAAUGCGCAUGAAGCUAGUGAACUCGGUGUUGUUAGUACCAUCGAAGAUCAUCGAACAGCGAGGGACAGCAACAUAGCCAGAUGCAGUAGACAUUUUUUUACAGCAGAUAAAACAGCAGUAGCAAGGCGAGCCGGAUCCAAUCGAGAUCAGGACGGGAUCGGGGCGGCGGCUGGCGGGCGCUGCUACUGGAGGAAGAGAGCAGAGCUGGCUGGCGCUGCAACUGGAAUCAGAUCCGAUCGGGACGGGAUUGGGGAGGCGGCUGGAGUCCUAGGAGCCGGAUCAGCAGACAGGCAGUAGGAAUCAGCAGCACCGUCCUGGAUGGAUCAGCGGCAACGGGGCAGCAGAUCAGCAGCACCGUCCUGGAUGGAUCAGGGGCAGCAGGANNNNNNNNNNNNNNNNNNNAGCAGGAAUCAGCAGCAAUCAGCAGCACCGUCUUGGAUGGAUCAGCGGCAGCGGGGAUCAGCAGCAGGAUUCGAUCCCUGUCCUGGACCGAUUCAAUCUGGGAUGGAUCCGAUCCGAUCUGGAGCAACAGGGAGACUAGGACGAGGCACGACACGAGGGGACGAGGAGGAGAGCUGCUGCCUGACGGAAACAAGCCAGAGAGGAGAGCGGCGGCAUGGAGCAAAUCAACAACACGAGUUGCGGCGUGCAAAAAUUAACCUAGCUCUGAUACCAUGUUAGGAAAGCAACAUAUCUAUAUUGAAGGCCCAAGGGGCAUAUAUAUAUUACACAUGACUUGAGGUGCAAGGAAAGUAAACAUAGACUAAUAAGGACUCCUAGACUAAUACUAGUAGACUAAUAAGGACUCCUAGACUAAUACUAAUACUUCCUAACAGGAGCGACCGACGUCGGAGCACCAGCAGGCAGUGAAGAGGAUCGUCCGCUACGUGGCAGGGACACUCGACCACGGCCUCCACUACCCUAGGUGUCCGGGGGCGGCACACUUCGUCGGGUACAGCGACAGCAACCACGUCGGCGACAUCGACACAAGAAAGAGCACGAGCGGGAUCCUCUUCUUCCUCGGCAAGUGUCUCGUGAGCUGGCAAUCGGUCAAGCAGCAGGUGGUGGCCCUGUCUAGCUGUGAGGCCGAGUACAUAGCGGCCUCCACCGCCUGCACUCAGGCGCUCUGGCUCGCUCGACUGCUUGGUGAUCUCCUUGUCCGAGACACCAGAACGGUGCAGCUCCUGGUGGACAGCAAGUCCGCCCUGGCCCUGGCAAAGAACCCCGUUUUCCACGAACGGAGCAAGCACAUCCGACUGAGGUAUCACUUCAUCCGCAGCUAUUUGGAAGAAGGGAGCAUCGAGGCGAGCUACAUCAACACCACGGACCAGCUCGCAGACCUGCUUACCAAGCCUCUUGGGAGGAUCAAGUUCCUCGAACUCUGCUCCAGGAUUGGGAUGAUUCGACUCUUCCACAAGACGACGUACAAGACUUAGGGGGAGAAUGAUGGAUAAGUCUAUGUACUAUGGUCUUUGUGGGGCUGCAGCACAUAGUCCUUUGUGGGGCUGCAGCACAUGGUCCUUGUGGCUGUUAGGAUAGAAUCCUUGACCAUCAAGGACUGGCAGUUAGGAUAGCAUCUCAGACUAGCAUCUUAGCAGCAUCUUAGACUAGCAUCUUAGCAUAUGCUUGGCUGGCUAGCAGCCUAUAAAUAUGUAUCCCCAACCCCACAGGUUGGCAUUGUAUUGUGUGAGAAAUAAACCAACAAAAAUUGUCCCAACUCUCCUAGUGUCAUCCACAACUAUCAAUGCUCAGGCUGAAAGGUCUAACAAGUGGUAUCAGAGCCUCGUUGUCUUGUACCCUGAGCAUUUCCUGCUCAGCUCUCUCACCGGGAGCUGAGCAGCCUAAGCCGGUAGCAGCAGCUGCUCCGACUGCCCCUAGUUACCUCCCUCCCUCCGGACUGUCGAGCGGCAGCUCGUCAGCAACAGCCUCCUCUUCACGCAACAGCCCCUCCCUCCCGAUCGAAGCAGCCGACUCCUUCCUGAUCAAAGCCUCGUCUUGCUCCCGCUCAGGAUCGUCCUCGAUCUACCAGCCGGCCCCCAAUCGGAUCUUCUCUCCCGCUCCCGCUCGGAAUCGAUCCAGGACGGGAUCGGCUCUUCUCUCCCGCUUCCGAUCAGAAUCGAUCCAGGUCUGCUCCCGCUCGGAAUCGGUCCAAGACGGGUUCGGAUGAGGUUCCUUCUCCCGCUCCCGGUCCUAUAGGAUCCCGCCGCCGCUGCCCUCCGGAUUCUCUCGCCCACCCCCAGUCCACUGCCGUUCCCGCUGCUGGUGCUUCCCGAGCAGCUCUGCUCGAUCGAAGCUGCGAGCCUCACCGCAGGCUCUGCUCCCGCUAGCUCUGCUCGAAGCAGGACGCAAUCUCGGCUCCCGCCGGCCCCGCUUGAGGCAGGAGGCGGCUCUGCUCCCGAUCACUAGAUCCUGCCGGAUCGGGUCGCCAGAUCGGGUCCAGAUCGGUCCGCUUCGCUCCACGCUGACUCCAAUUUCAGAUCGAGAGGCUGCGUUCCUUUGGUAAAAAAAGAAGAAAAAAUGGUCUACACCAGCACGCAACGUUGUAGUCCCUUGCUUCCCGUGACUCCUGACGGUUGUGCUGGUAGUUCUUCUGCUGCUCUUGUGAGCUCUACAUAUGGUGAUUGUCGCUCUACACCGACUCCUCUCGCGACUUUCAUCGGUGCAUGUCGCUCUUCCCCGACACCUCUCGCGACUUUCACCGGUUGUCCUAGUGCCUAUGACUCCAUGGACUGCUCUUCGUCCAUGCGUCUUCCCUUGGCGCUUGGUGCUUGUCUACAUACGACCUCGUCUUCUCCACCGGUCUUUGUCGACGAUAUUGGACAUGCUACACCGCCAUAUUUAGCGGCUUCCACAGGUGGUGGUGGUCACUUCUCUCCUCGUGCCAUUACGCCGCCUACCUCAGUUGUGUACUUCACCGAGGACAAGAUUGCGCGACUUCAAGCCCUUCUGCUUGCCUCCGAAUCUCCAUUGUCGGGUGUGUCUACAUCGACAUCUUCAGUUGCGCCCCUGACUGAGUAGGAGAUUGGACGAUUUCGAUGUCUACUAGCUCCAUCUUUUGUUUCUUCAUCGACAGGUUCUGUUGGUUCUGCUACGGACUCUUCUGGCAUUGUGAGACCACCUUCUACACACACGGGUACAUCUCCAUGGGUUCUUGAUACUGGAGCAUCUUUUCAUAUGACUCAUGAUUCAUCCACUAUGUCAUCUACUUGACCGCUUGAUUCUCCUGUUCAUGUUCUUACUACUGAUGGUACUUCUCUCCCGGUUACUGGUCGAGGCACUCUUAGCACUUCAUCUUUUCAUGUUCCCGAUGCUGCUCAUGUUCCUCGGCUUACCAUGCAACUCCUUUCUGGUGGCCAGAUUGUUGACUCUGGUUGUCGGGUCAUUCUUGACUUUGCCUCAUGUUCAGUUCUGGACUGUCACACUGGUGCUCUUCUUGGUGCUGGCCCCCGGCGUCGUGACUCCCAGGGUCUCUGGGAGCUUGACUGGCUUCACCUUCCAUCCGCUGCCACCGCAGCCAGUCUCUCCUCCUGUGUUGCCUUGUCUACUAGCUCUUUUCAACAGUGGCAUCAUCGUCUGGGUCAUUUAUGUGGCUCCCGUCUCUCAUCCUUAGUUAGACAUGGUCUUCUUGGAUCUGUCUCCGGUUGUGUGUAUUUAGACUGUCAGGGCUGCCGGCUUGGUAAACAGGUUCAGUUACCUUAUCCUCAUAGCUAGACUGUGUCUCAGCAUCCUUUUGACCUCGUUCACUCCAAUGUUUGGGGUCCAGCUCCCUUUGCCUCGAAGGGAGGCCAUCGCUACUAUAUUAUCUUUAUAGAUGAUUUCUCUCGAGACACGUGGGUCUAUUUUAUGUUUUCUCGUAGUGAGGUAUUAUCUAUCUAUAAGCGUUUUGCUGCCAUGGUUCACACUCAGUUCUCUACGCCUAUUCGUGUGUUCCGUGCUGACUCUGCUGGAGAGUAUAUCUCCAAGAUGUUGCGUGGAUUUCUCGCUGAGUAGGGUACACUUGCUCAGUUCUCUUGUCCUGGUGCUCAUGCUCAGAAUGGUGUGGCUGAGCGCAAGCAUCGUCACCUUCUUGAGACGGCUCGUGCGAUGAUGAUAGCCGCUUCUUUUUCGCCUCACUUUUGAGCUGAGGUUGUCUCCACCUCCACCUAUCUCAUCAAUCUACAACCUUCCGAUGCUCUAUAGGGUGGUGUUCCUUUCGAGCGUCUUUUUGAUCAUUCUCCUGUUUAUUCGAUGCUUCGCUUGUUUGGUUGUGUUUGUUAUGUUCUUCUUGCCCCUCGCGAACGCACCGAACUGACCGCUCAGUUUGUUGAGUGUGUCUUCUUAGGCUAUAGUGAUGAGCAUAAGGGCUAUCGUUAUUGGGAUCCUAUCGGUCGUCGGAUGCGUAUCUCUCGGGAUGUGACUUUUGAUGAGUCUCGUCCCUUCUACCCACGCCCAUCUUCCUCGACCUUUUCAGUGGAGGAUAUCUCUUUCCUCACUUUUCCUGAUACACCUCUCACCCCCAUCGAGCCUUUGUCUAUUCGUUAUACUACCUCUGCUUCUCCUCCCCUCGCAUGUCACCGGACUCUGCACCUUCAUCUCCGGUGACUUCUAUGUCUUCACCCCCUGAUUCUACCUUGGCGAUCCCCCUUGCAUUGUUCCAUCUUUUCCUCAAUGUUACACUCGUCGUUCACGUCAUGUGGAUGCCUCUGUGGAUGCCUCUGCGGAUGUGUCGUCAUCCUCAUCUCAGCCUCCCUAUGCCUUGCGUUCUUGCCCUCGUCCGCCUGUUGAUCGCUUUGGAUUUCCCACCGUUGGUGUUGUUGUUCUUGAGCCGACUUCCUAUCGUCAGGCUAUUGUUCAUCCUGAAUGGCAGUUUGCGAUGGCAGAGGAGAUUGCUGCUCUUGAACGCACUGGUACAUGGGAUCUUGUUCCCCUUCCUCCCGGUGUCCGUCCCAUCACUUGUAAGUGGGUCUACAAGGUUAAGACUCGCUCCGAUGGUUCUCUUGAGCGUUAUAAAGCUUGUCUUGUGGCUCGUGGCUUUCAGNNNNNNNNNNNNNNNNNNNNNNNNNCAGCAGGAGCAUGGUCGUGAUUACGACGAGACUUUUGCUCAUGUGGCCCAUAUGACCACAAUUCGUACACUUCUUGUUGUGGCCUCUAUACGCCACUGGUCUGUAUCUUAGCUUGAUGUUAAGAAUGCCUUUCUUAAUGGUGAGCUGCGUGAGGAGGUGUACAUGCAGCCACCACCUGGGUAUUCGGUUCCUGAUGGCAUGGUUUGUCGUCUUCGUCGCUCUCUCUAUGGCCUUAAGCAAGCCCCCCGUGUCUGGUUUGAGCGUUUUGCCUCUGUGGUAACUGCUGCUGGUUUUCCAGCAUUAUUUGUCUACCUUUCUCCUCGUGGUUUUUCAGCCGAGUAUAUUGCCUUUGUAAAGGCCCGUCUUAGUGAGCAGUUUCUUAUGUCUGAUCUUGGACCUCUUCGCUACUUUCUUGGGAUUGAAGUCUCUUCUACCUCUGAUGGCUUUUUUAUAUCCUAGGAAAAGUAUAUCCAACAUCUUCUUGCUCGUGCUGCUCUUACUGAUGAGCGAAUUGUUGAGACUCCCAUGGAGCUCAAUGUUCACCUUUGUGAUACUGAUGGUGAUCCCCUGCCUGACCCGACGCGUUAUCGGCAUCUUGUUGGCAGUCUUGUCUAUCUAGCUGUCACUCUUCCGGAUAUCUCUUAUUCGGUUCAUAUUCUCAGUCAGUUCGUCUCUGCUCCCACCUCGGUUCACUAUAGUCACCUCCUUCGUGUUCUCUGAUAUCUUCGGGGUACGAUCUCGCACCGUCUAUUCUUUCCUCGCUCCAGUUCUUUACAGCUUCAGGCCUAUUUGGAUGCUACGUGGGCUAGUGAUCCUUCGGAUCGUCGUGCACUUUCUGCUUACUGUGUUUUUCUUGGUGGUUCUCUCAUUGCCUGGAAGACGAAGAAACAGACCGUAGUUUCCCGUUCGAGUGCAGAGGCUGAGUUGCAAGCGAUGGCUCUUUUGACGGUAGAGGUGACUUGGUUACGGUGGUUACUUCAGGAUUUUGGUGUUUCUGUCACUACAUAGACUCUGUUCUUAUCUGACAGUACAGGUGCUAUCAGCAUUGCGUGCGAUCCUAUGAAGCAUGAGCUCACCAAGCAUAUACGUGUUGAUGCUUUCUAUGUGAGCGCUGGUGUGCAGGAUCAGGUUAUUACAUCUUCAGUAUGUGCCUUUCGAGUUACAGUUGGCAGUAUGUGCCUUUCGAGUUACAGUUGGCAGAUUUUCUGACGAAGGCCCAGACUAGAGCACAACAUGGCUUCUAUCUCUCCAAAAUCAGUGUUGUUCAUCCACCAUGAGUUUGAGGGGGGUGUUAGAGUAUAUAUAAUAUAGCCAUGUACCAUUUUGUAUUUAUCCCGUUAUAUAAGGGGUUUGCUGCAUAUAGUCCACCACCUGCACAUGUAUAUAUAUCGGCCUAUGGCCUCAUGGGAAUACAAGUUGCUUAUUCCUAACAGCCCUGAUCUCAAGGCUUGUUAAAAAUUUCUACGUAUUUUCUUUCUUUGAAUAAACUUAUCACAUUUGCAGUUCGUUGCUUGUCCUUCCGCCCAUGAUCCUGUUAGUUAGCUUUGGGCAUGCAUGUGUGUUCUAUAUAUUCUGUACUAUUAUUAUUAUUAUUAUUAUUAUUAUUUCCUUGGGGUAUUCCCAACUGUUCUCAUUAAGAUGUUAUUAGAUUUUCCUGCCACAACAAUGUUCAUUACUUGCUUUUUACAUUGUCGGUUGUGUUCCUUAGUUUUCACACAUUCAUAAGUGCAGUAAACCCCUUAUGUUGGAUGUGUCGAGAUGAUGCUAUCUAGCCUGUAUAUACCAGUUAGAAUAGCAGUUUAUGUUGCUAAAUUGGCUGCUUUCAACUGCCAUAGCGGUGCCUUUCGGUCUAUAAGAACUUAUAAAAAACUCCAGCUAAUGAAGCGUUCCUGCAAGGAACUUAACCUGGCAUUCCUCUGUUUGAAUUUUGUGCAGAAGCAAGUCAGGGAAUUGGAAAUAGAAAGAAAUUUCAUGGUUAUUGAAGACGAGGAGAGCGUGAAGGACUACUAUGAUCUCUUACAGCAGUACAAAACUCCAAAAGAGGAAGUCGGUAAUAUUGUACUUUCGCCGAAAUAUGUUCUGCCUUUCUUGCAAUUCGGAAGGCUUGUUGGGUUUAGUACAGUACAUAUGAGCACCCCUCUAUUGACGAAAACGUGUCAUGGAGAAUUUAUAAUAAACUUUGAAAGGGUGAAAGCCCAUGCUGAAGGUACAUACAAAAAAUAUUUCUCUGUAUGUGGUUUUGGUAAUUUAUAACAAUCCCUAUGGAUUAAUGGUUGCCUUAAGUUAUAUUCGAAGGAUUUGUCCAUAGACAUUUAUGUUGGUUUCAAAGAGUUUAUAUGAUGAUCAAGGUGGUACUCAAGGUAUUAUCCAAAGAAUGGUCAUAAAGACACAAGGUUGAUCAUGACUAAGACAAAGAGUAAAUCAAGAUGAUCAACACACAAAGCGUACAAGAUGUACCGACAGGGAUCAAGUGAUCCCAUGGUAUGAUAAGCAUUGUCCAUAACGCUUUUGUGUACUAAACCAUGGUCUUCAUGAGAGUUCUAUUUAGGGUUAGGUGUGUUUCCAUGGGUUUGCGUUAAGACGAAGAUAUCAUUCAAUCUAUGAAGGAUGACAUCAAGUGGUGAUCGUCAUCAAGAUUGCGGUGUGCAAGUUCAAGUGGAGCAUCACGAAGAUAUUAUGAUUGAAGUUUGCCGUCCAUUGUGGUGGCAAUGAACUUAUGUAGAUGCGCUGAAGAAUGGCUCACCCAUAGUGAGUAUGAGGGAGCAAUCAACUAGUCUUCAUCAGACCAACGCAAUCAAGAAAGGUGGUCCAUCUUGAGGAAGUCAAGAUCAUCAUCAUCUAGCUCAAGAGGACUAGGUGCAAGGUAUAAGUUUGUCCUUUGUAGGUUUUUUUAUUUUAGGAUAGAUUGCCAUACUGUAAAGGGGGGUUCUCAAGUGAGUAGCUUGAUCGUAUUGUUCGUUGAGAGCUCAAACCAUUUGCAUCCUUGCAUCGUAUUUCUUCGUUCUUGUUUGGUGUUUCUCUUUGUGAGUACUAGAGCUUAUGGUCAUCUUCAUGACAAGCUCGAGUUCAUCGAAAACGGAGUUUAUAUGCAUCUUAUAUGAUGUUUUUUAUGUUGGAAGUUUUUGCCGAUUCUUCAUUCAUAGAGGUCUCACAUCUCUAUAUCAUUUUCAUUUUCAUAAUUGUCGUCCUGAAUCCAACAAGCUUGAAUUUGCUCAAUUCGGAGCUCAUAUGCGAAGGUUAUGGCAGUUUCAAUAUCAUAGCUGUUUUUCUCUAAACAGGCGGUAGUACCGCUUGGGCGGUACUUCUGUUGUGUACUACCGCUGGUACUUCCGCUUAAAUAUUUUAUCUGGCUUCUUCGGGGUCUUUUUACAUUUUGAGCGGUAGUACCGCUGGGCGCGCGACACUACCGCCCCGAGAUCUUUGUCGUUUGCACGUUUUUCUUGAAACUUCAGUUCCAGUGGAAGUACCGCUUGCCUGAGCGGUACUGCCGCUUGUGUACUGACUGAGUGCAUAACGGUUCGAUUUGGGGAGGCCUAUAAAAGGGGGUCUUCUUCCCCAAUGGUUAUUUAUCCGUUGAGCUUGUGUUUUUCCUCCGUUGUUGACUUUCUUAGAGCUUGCUAACUCUCAAUCUCUCCAAUGAUUCUUGCUAGUUCUUGAGGAAAAGGAGAGAGGAGAUCUAGAUCUACAUCUCCACCAAUCACUUUCUCCUUUAUGUGAGGGGAACCCCUUGGAUCUUGAUCUUGGAGUUUUUUGUGAGCUCCUUGUUCUUCAUCUCAUAUUCCUUCAUAGCUUUUGUUGUUGUGGAGGGAUUUGAGUGUGAGGGACUUGACCACUUCGUGUGUUCUUGCCAUUGCAUUAGUUGCAUCAGUUUGAGUCUCCAUAGUGGUACAUGGAAGUGGAGUUUGAGAGAGAGAAAAAAAAUUAUCCUUGGGUACUUAGUACCCUUAGAAAUUGUUCUUCGUGGAUGCUUUGGCGUCAUCGAAGGUUGGUGGUGCCUCGAAGCUCAAUCAUUGUGGUGUAAACCUCCGGGCAAGCGUCGGGGUCUUCAAUUAAGUUGUGGAGAUUGCCCCAAGCAUUUGAGGUCAUCACGGAGCCACAGUCCAUUGUGGUGAAGCUUCGUGGUGUCGUUGGGAGCCUUCAAUUAAGUUGUGGAGAUUGCCCCAACGUUGUUUGAACGGGUUCGGUGACCGUCCUCAAGUGUCCCUUAGUGGAAUCACGGCAUCUUGCAUUGUGCGAGGGCGUGAGGAGAUUACGAUGGCCUUAGUGGCAUCUUGGAGAGCAUCGUGCCUACACACCGUUCCAAACGGAGAUUAGCAUCCACAAGGGUGUGAACUUCGGGAUACAUCGUCGUCUUCGCGUGCCCCGGUUAUCUCUUAACCCAGCCUUUUACUUAUGCAUUUUACUUUGUGAUAGCCUUAUUGUUCCUUGUUAAAUAUUGCUAUCACUUAGUUGUUUAUCUUGCUUAGCAUAAGUUGUUAGUGCAUAUAGGUGAGCCUACUUGUUUUAGGUUCCGUGUGCUUGACAAAUUAAAUGUUAGUUUUAUUCCGCAUUUGUUAAAGCCUAAGCCAUAAUUAUUUUAAAGCGUCUAUUCACCCCCCCCCCUCUCCUCUGGGCAGUUCACCCAAGUUGUUUGGCAUUGAAAUCCCACAAUUGUUGUCAUAGUUAAAACACUAAUAGAUGGAUCCACAACUGAAACUAUUUAUCUGUUUAUGGCAUGCCUCUCGAUGAGAGCUUAAGGUCGGUUUGUUUUAGAUGAACUAUGAGAUGAUUGUCUUGUUUUUGUUCCCACCCUGUCAUGUUUUAAUACUCAAGGUAUUUAGUUACAUUAUUGCUCCACCACAUUUUAGGGGAAAAUUAUGUGUUGCAGUUCCUGUAUGAAGCUUUAGCUUCAACACUAGCAAUUUCCUGUUGUUCUGUUGGUUUUGACUCAGUGCUGAACAUGAUGUUGUGUUUAGCUCUAGGUUUAACAAAUCAUGUAAGUUAUUGAAGUACAUGAACUCCAGAAUACAUGUUUUCACAUUUACAGUCACAACCAUCCCAAGAAUCCCAUGCACCAAGACCUCUUCUUGACAAUCAAUUUCUUCCAAGCUAUAAUCCAACACCAAAGAAGAGGUGGACCUUUUCUUAUAGACCUUACUGUAAGUUUUGAAGUGUAAAUGUUUCAGGCGUUCCACCACCUUAUCUAAGCUUUGUUUCAAAGUUUGAUAAUAUGACCUCCUUGCUAUAUCAAACAUGCAUUACUCAUUUGAUCUUAAACUAAUCAAGUUCUUUAUUGCAGACUUUUUUCUCAUUUAUAUGAUUCUUUUAAGAUAUGGAGUACUCCUUCUGUAAACUAAUAUAAGCGUGUUUAGAUAACAAAAAUAGUGAUCUAAACACUUUUAUAUUAGUUUACGGAGGGAGUAUUAAUUAUUCAUUUUCCACAGACAAUACUUUGGCAUUGGAUUAGACAUGUUAAGCCAUUCGCUGUUUCUUUUCUUAUCUAUGUCUGUGAAAAUAAAAUUGUUGAUCUGUCUAUCGGAAAAAAAUAACAAGGAAGUAGUUUCUUCAAAUCCAAAUGUCAUAGUGAUACUAUGAUUUCGAGUCAAAUGUUCUUCCUAAGCCUAUUCCUGCAUCGAAUUCAUUUAUGUUCACUAAUUUUCAGUUUGGCAUGUCUUCCUUAGGGUGGAAAUGUUCCUAAGGUAGCUCUGUCCAUCCCCCUCAAAGAAUUCGUUUUUUAUCAUUCAGGUAAGAUGCCUACUCAUGUACAACUUUCUCAUUUUCUUCCACUACCCAUGAUGAUUGUGCUGAGAAUGUUAAGAGGGGUCGUGGUAGACCAAACUUGACAUGGGAGGAGUCCGUUAAGAGAGACCUGAAGUUUUGAAAUAUCGACAAAGACUUAGCCAUGGACAGGGGUGCGUGGAAGUUAGCUAUCCACGUUCCAGAGCCAUGACUUGGCUUCGAGAUCUUAUGGGUUUCAACUCUAGCCUACCCCAACUUGUUUGGGACUGAAAGGCUUGGUUCUUGUUGUUGUUGUACCCAUGAUGAUUGUAUCCUUGUAGUACUUUUAAGGCAGGAUGGAGCCUCAUGGCCACACAUAAAUCUGUGAUAAAUGGUAAGCCUAUAGGCCAUAGCUAGCAUGAUUUUUUAACCUUUCUAAUUUCGGUUCAGUUAGAAGAUGCUCAGUGAAUACAUAUGAACUUGCUGAGGAGAUGAUUUGAAACAUUGGAAGACAUAUUUUGCAAAAUUUAAGAAAUAUAUAUGGGACAUCUCACCUCCGAUUAUCAAUGGGAUUAUUCCUAAAGACCAAAUAUGCAUCAUGUUAUCAUUUCGCCAUUCUGCUUUGUUAUGCGUUGAUGGCAGGUCAGGAAGGCUAUCAUUUUUUUCUGGGGGUACGCUAAGGCAUACCAUAAUUUUAUAGAAGACAACAUAUUGUUUUUUACAAGAAGUUAAAAAAAUCCCUGCGCCAUGCGGACAGCGAUAUGAGCUAACUCAUCCAGCCCUACUCCUACUCCUAGAUACAAACUAUUCACCUCUCACAAAGUACUCCAAGUUCACCUCUUGUGUUUUUUUCCAUAGCAUCAGUCAACUACAAAUAAGUCCUCUUUAGCUCUUCCUAUGAAUGCAGUCCUUGCAUUGAUAUAUGCACCAAGCUUCGUGGUUGUCAGUUCGUGAUGGCACACGCACCGAUGUUAAGAUGUAGUAUUCUGAAACAUUCAGUCCAUGUUGAUGCACUAAGACGCAAUGCAGCAUGACGUGGUUAACUGUAUCCUCCUGUUGCAGGCAAGUGUAGCAUGCAACCUUGGAGUUUUGGAUUCCAUAUCUUUCUCUUUGAUCUGAUGUCCAAAGCCUAUACUGGAUGGCCAACCAAGCAAAAAAAAAAAAAAUAGGGGCAGCAAAUAUUUUCAUCGGAGGCCGACCUUAGGACGAUCUUUUAGGAUUGGCCUUGUUCCGUGGCGGGCCAAAGUCUGGCCUGGGCUUUUAAUCGCGUGUUAGGCCGGGCCGAAAUUCCAUGCCCGCACGCCGGCCCGCGCGGCACGGCUGUGCAUGGCCAGAUUUGGACUGUCCCCUUUUCUUCUUCCUCCUCCCAUAUCCCAUAGAGCAGAGGAAAAGAGAAAGAAAUUUAAAAUCUCUUCUUGCGUUGCUCGGAUCCUCUGCUUCCUCGCCGUCCGUGUCCCGCCGCCACUAGCGUUAUCCAUCAAGACCGCUACCGCCGCUCCACAGUAUCUGAAACUCAGCUCCAGCUCCAAGCUAGGUAAGGAAUAAAGGAUUCCCCUUUCCCACUGCCCGCAGAUCGUCUCACCUGAUUCCUCUUCUUCACCAGACCGUCUCCUAUGUAGCUGCAGGUACUAUUCUUGGGCCUCAAUGCUCGAUUCAUCACCCAGGCCAGGCUAGGUACCUCCUCCCGUCCCCAGAUUUACCAGUUUACAGACUUUCUGUCUUGACCUGUACUACUAGUGUAGUACUCCCUCCGUCUCAAAAUAAGUGUCUUAAGCUUAGUACAAUUUUGUACUAGAGCUAGUACAAUGUUGAGACAGUUAUUUUGGGACAGAGGGAGUAGUAAUCUCCUCCUUUUGCAAAUCAACGGGGGACCCCAUCACUUCAGUCUACUUAUUUUGUUACUCCACAUGUUGGCAAGGUAUCUACCCCUCAAUGCUUCACUCGUAUUUUCGGUGUUUGCUGUGGCAUUCGACAGUUAAAACUUGAUGCCACUCUUCUGGACAUGAUCAUCCAAAAUUCUUCUGAUUUUAGUUCACAAGCUCGGAUAGACAAGACAAACCUUAUAUCUGUGCUCAGCAAAAUAGCUCGGAUAGACAAACCUUAUAUCUGUGUUCAGCAAAAUAGAGAUAAUGUAAAAAAAAAAAAAACUGGCAAUACAGCCCUAACUAUGUUAUUGUUAUGAAGAUAUGCAUGGUGGUAUGCUUUAAGAAAUUUUCUUCAUCAUUUGCUAUAGACUCCAUCAUAACAUCUAAAAUUUGUGCAACUGUGCAGCAAACUUCUGGGAAUUCGUAGAAAAGAAGGUGUAAAACAAGCCUAUAUCGGAUGAUAAUCAAGUUGCUCACCUUCUGGCCUACUUUGUUCCCUUCAUCAGCCUGGUUACUCAAUUUCUUGUCUCUUUCACCAGUCAGAAUCAAAUGGAGGAAUUGUGCCAACAUCAAGGUCAACUAAUUUUCUUUACACAUGUGCAUAUGAAUGGAACAUUGCAACUAUUGUGAGUAUUGCAGUGUAUAUUUCCUUCUAAUAGCUAAAGCACAGUAGUAAUUCUUCUCGUAAAAUAUGACUGUCAACAAGUGUAUAGUUCAAUAAGUUGACAAUCAGUAGGAAAUUCUACCAAGAUAAUUAACUUAUUAUUAAGGUACUCUGCUUUCAGAGGUAUUUAGUAAAUACUGCUUCUUUGCUAUUGAAAUGGACAAUCUGAAAUACAGGUGAAAGCUUUCUUCUUCUGUAGCAUGAAAUGAAAGAUGUAUCCGUUUUAUUAUGUAAUAUUUUUAGAUUUAAUAUUAACAUUUGCAAUAGGUGGGAGAUAGAUGUGAAGUUGAGCCAGGUGACAAGAGGGGCGCUGUAUAAUUUGUUGGCAAAGCUGAAUCCCUUGGACAUGGAUUUUGGGUUGGAGUGCAAUACAAUGAGCCACUCAGAAAGUAGGAUGGCAUGUUAUGUUCAUUCUCAGACUGUGACAGUGAUGAAUAGUUGACCUUUGAAGAAAUAGCUCUUUGAAGCAUUUUCUUUGAUUUCUCGGAUGCUGCAGGGUGAAAGGCGUCCACUUCUUUGAGUGCCCCCAAGGGCAUGGAGCAAUUGCCCUGCCAGAGAAAGUAAAGGUAUCUGUCUUUGCUACAUGCAUACAAUGCUUAUUAUUGCGGUGGCUGAACUUGAACGGUGCUUGCUCAAAUAAUUGAAUUUCAUAUAUCUUCUAGGCUUUGUUCCCUUAAAACAACGGAAACAGUGCUUGAUCUUGAUGGCAGUUUGGUUGCAAUGGCAAAUUGGCAACAGUAUGUAGCAGUGGAUGCCGGGAUGGUUUGCAUCAUAUGUUCUUGUGAUGCAACGGCGGGCUUAUUGCAUUGUGGUGACGUUUGAAUUGACGUAUUGGAAGAGUUAGAGAGGGGCAAUUAAUUCUAGCCUGCAGCAGAAUAAACAUGUGUUACAGUAUAUAAGCAACUUGAGCCAGAGCUAAAAGCAUGUGCCCCUAGUAAGAUGAUUGUCAACAUGCAUAAAGUACCACAGUAGUAGUUUGUUAUGCUGGUGGAAAAUAGAAGUUAUCCUUUUCCAGUGUGUCAAACUUUAGUCAGCAAAGGGAGAGAGAGCUAGCAAACUUUGAUUGACUAGCAGAACUUUACUAGUCAUUCUCCACCUAGGAAGCAAGCAAAGUUCAAGUCUUGACUUGGUCAUUCGAUACUCCUCCCCACUCUUGCGCGGGUCAACCGUCAAUCUUGAAGCAAUUCAUUUUUCCAAUUUUGACUUGGAUACUUUUAAGUGCCAACAAUGUCCAUGCCCUUAUUUUCCUAGGUCGACAAAAUGUCAUGUAGAUCUCUAAGCAGGUCCUGAUCCAUGGUCCCAUUUUUUUUUGUGCUGUGUAAAUGGCUGAAGCGUGCCAUGGAAUCUAAAUAUGUGUGUGGUCUUCAAUCAGGAACAUCAUCUCUUCCUAAUUUUUUCCUGAUUGGUACUACUUGGUAUACUUCCAAGAUUAGCACAUUGAUUUGAUAAACCAUAUGGGAUGAGAGUAGUUGCCUCGACAUGCUUCUGUUUCUGUUAUUUCUGGUGUCAAUGUCCUCUCUGGAGAGCAAAGUGUUUGAUGAUAUAUCAUUAGGCUUUUUCUGCAGAAGUUGGAUUUCAAUUUUCCUCCAUAUUUUCAACAUUUUUGGUUUCUGUGCUGCCAACCCAUGGCCGCCUCGCCACGUCUGUGAAGGACAUAUUGGUAGAGUCCCUGCUCCAUGGAUACAAAUUUGACAGGUACAUGGUAGUGUUAUGGUGUAAUGCCUGGUGCUUUAGCGGUUAUUAUGGUCUGGCAUACAUAAUGUUCAAACAUUUUAUCAUCAUCCGAGUAUGAUAAUGUUAAUGUGCCUUUCAAGUUUGAGGAUCAAAAGAUUUAGUUCUUACUGUACUGUUACUGCCAAGUUCAAGCUUGUAAGUUGUUGCCUCCGUAAGAUGAUUUAUUAUGUGUUAUCUUAUUCUGCAGCAUCAACAUGGCACCCUUUGCCGCCAUGAUACUGGUUCUACACACAUUGACAUGGCUCGAUCUUGUCUCGCUGAUUAUCAUCCAUGUGAUUCAUGCGUGCGGCAACCUUAAAGUAAGACGGGCCAUUCUGGACUAUGCAGUUUCUAAAAUCCGAUUCUUGUGCUGCAGGUUGCUGUUGUGGUACCGGUCUCAUGGUUGAUCUUCCGGAACCCUAAUGAAUGCAAUUUUGUGCGCAGUUACGCUCGUUGGUUGUACUUUCUAUUGGUACCGACAUCCCCCAGGGAGCCAAGGAAUGAAAUCUCGGCUGCUCCCGGUAGUUAGCUAACAGGGCCGGCCCUAGCAUUCCGGAGGCCCUUGUGCCAACAUCAUAUAAUGGGCCCAUACGCUAUACCACACAAAAAUAUUUCCACCCCAUGCAUACCACCCUUUUGAGUGAAUUUAUCUACAAGUUUCUUAUUUCUUUCUUUUCUCCCGAUCAGAUAAAUGCUUUUUUUUGCACCAUAGUUAAAAGAAGUAGAAAGAACACCUGAAUUCUUCGAUAUUGAUCUUGGUCUCUUGAAGUAAAUUAGAAGAAAUCUCACACUGCUCGAGCUAUCCAAUAUUCCAAAUCAAGCAAUGCCACAACACAAAAUCUACCUGACUACAAUGUCAUAUAAUAAGGAAUCAAGCACGUCAAAUAUACUUACAUCAAUUUGUCCUAACAGAAAAUAAGCAAGGAAAAAAUUGAGAAGCAAGGAAUUAGAAUGAAGUGCGGUGCCUAGACUCCACGUCUCCAUUGUCUGCCCUUGGAUGGUCGGAACCAUGGCCCUAACGAUGGAUGGCAAGGUUGCGGCAUGCUGCUCUCGGUGUUCCAGCCAGCCAACCAGGGCACAAGCAGGUGUCGUCGCUGGCCGACGCGUCUGUGCGUCCGUUCGACGGGGUCCUGGGGCUAUUUGUAAGGUGCAAAUGAACUCGAAGAAAUUCAUUGGAGUGUGAUACUAAUGGAAAAUUCAUUCAUUUGUUUGGGAUUUGGAAUCCAGGCCCGUUAGGAACUCAUGGCAAUAGUUACUUUUGGGGAAGAGGGAGAAGAUGAGAACGAGAGGGAGGGAGAUGAUGAGUUAGCGGCGUGUUCUCGAGGAGAGCGAAGGAAAGGUUUAGGGAUUGACUUGUUCGUUCGUGAGUGACUGCUCACUAUUUAAUGCGCUGGGUUGCUUUAUACAUAUAGAGUAUACAUGUAUAGAGUAUGGGCUCCUGCUCGGGCUGGGCCCUAGUCCGUCGCACUCGUUGCCAUGGCCCAGGGCCGGCCCUGUUAGCCAAGGAAUGAAAUCCCGGCUGCUCCCCGUAGUUAGCCAAGGAAUGAAAUCUUGGCUGCUCCCCGUAGUUAGCUAAGCANNNNNNNNNNNNNNNNNNNNNNNNNNNNNNNNNNNNNNNNNNNNNNNNNNNNNNNNNNNNNNNNNNNNNNNNNNNNNNNNNNNNNGGAAUGUAAAGAAGUAAACAGAUGAUAUAUACUCCCUCCGUUCCUAAAUAUAAGACCUUUUAGAGAUUUCAGUAUGAACUACAUACGGAUGUAUAUAGACGUAUUUUAAAAUAUACAUUCACUCAUUUUACUUCGCCUAUAGUUCAUAUUAAAAUCUAUAAAAAGGUCUUACAUUUAGGAAGUAUACGUUAUGUGAUUUGACUAUGCAGAUUGUGGAUUCUAUAUAACUUAGGAUGAAGUAAACGGAUAAUAUGUACCUCACGUGCUCCAAAAUCAGGGCAAACUGAUAUUUGGAGAAUUUAACAAGUGACACUCAUUGUAUAUAUGUACAACGCUUGAAAAAUACUCCCUCCAUAAAAGAAAGAAAUAUAAGAGAGCGUUUAGAUCACUAAGGCCAUGUUUGGAAUAUCGUUUCCCUCAGCAAUACACUUGUAAAUAAUACAGAUCUUCCCCUGUCGUUUUGUUGUUUCCAGGCAGAAAUUAGUACUAGCCCUGUAAGUUACACCUGUAAAUUAAAUACUUAAAUACAUCCAAUCCAAACAUGCCCUAAUUUAAUAAUGGUGAACGCUCUUAUAUUCAUUUAAAGAGGGAGUAGCUAAAAAUAACUCGGGAGGAUGAGCUGGAUAACAGAACCGUAAGAGAAUUUCAGCAGUUAGUAGAGCAUGCCUCGGCUUUCUCCUGGCCGAGAGAUUAAUCACUCUAUUCUUUGCGCACUUUGGUUGUGUGGAUUCUCCUGGCCGAGAGAUUAACCACUCUAUUCUUUGGGCACUUUGGUUGUGUGGAUUUGGGAGAGGAUGCUGCCUUCACCUGUGUGACGAUGGUCAUCAGGUGGGUGGUCCGGACAGGUUGAAUUGCACCCAGCUGCGGCACGCACGAUAAUGGGCUACAGUUCGUGUGAUGUUUCCGUUGAGCGACUGAACAAUGGGUGGUACACAGGCGAUUGGAUAGCUUGUUAACUAAUACAAGAGCAGAUUUUGUAUGCAGCAAGGGUGUUGUUAAAUGCAGGUCAAGUAGCUCAUCACAAUAAAACCUCUGGUAUCUAUGUCUCUCAGUCUUAACAAGAGAAGAAUACCAACUCGUUAACUCACUGUCACUUGUUGCCGAGGCAGCGGCACGAAAAUCGCCCAUGGCAUCAGACAAUCAGACCCAAUCUGCAUCAGUUUCUUCAGUAUACCGACCGACGGAAUCAGCUGAUACCCAAAUCUUGAAAAUCAAAAGGGAGAAACAAUAAUAGGCUAGCCCAUACAUAGGCUCAGCUCAGGAUGCUUACACUCCACAAUGACGCUGCUUCAUAAACGUACAGUGGCUUUUGAUCCCUGAAUGUAUUUUGUAAGUCGCAGAACACAACAAACAGCCCAAACCAAAUCUGCUGAUCAUACCAAAUCAAACAAGACAAUUAUUCUAUAGUUCUAACAGCUCAUGCGCAACUUUGUCAACUUAAAAUUUAUUGAAAAGAACCAAGUCACUAAGGCUGGUUGUAAUGAGGAGUAUCAUAUACUACACCCGUAAUACAUAGUAUCAUAUGUUAGUAUCAUAGACUAGGUCAUUUAUUACCAUGCAAGACACAAAGUAGCACAACAUUUAAUAUGAUACGGUAUCAUGAUAUGAUAUUCAACCCUCUCUUUCUUCAUUUAAUUCUAAGCCACCUCAUCAAAAUUGUCUAGUUGGCAUGCAUGAUACUACCUAUGAUACUACCAUUACGACCAGCCUAACAUCAUUGUUGAAAGGUUGCACAUUCAGGGAUCUAACAACAGCCUUUAUGGGCAAGACACCACACUAGGCCUGGGUAAUAUAUCCGUCAAUCAAGAGAUCCAUCUUGUCGCGGACAAGCCGGGACCAAGCAACAGUGAUAUCCACCUGAGAGCCACAAACCCAACAUGUACGCUGACUUAUGUUGCAAUACUCCGAAGGGAAGUAGAUAUGACUAGAUGUAGAACCAGACCCCCCAUACGGCUUUACCACGACAUCCAAUCCUCCACCACAUUGUACCGAGACGACUUUCCUUGACAGAGGGAGGUAACCAUCUAGAUCAAGCUCUUCAUAUUCUUGGGGAAUUCUUUCAAGAGAAUCGAGCAACACAACCUCGUGCAUAGCAGGACUACCAUCUGCACUAGACGACCAACAAGAAACUUGGACUCCAGAUUUGAAAGGAGACCGCCCUCCGACAACACGAACUGAUAAAAUAGUGGCCUGUAUCGUACUAGGAAGUCGUUCAAGGCUCAACUUCGCUGUACACAACGGACUGUGAAAGGUUAAACAUGGAAGCUCACCGCUGGGUGCUACCUCGUAGCGGCUGCUAACAUAGAUCAAUUCUCUAUCAUUGAGCCCAUCACCUCUAGGAUCACAGCCAUCAUGUACUCUUAGUUCGACUUCAAAAUCAACAGGGUCCAUGGCUAGAAUAGCACGAGACGGGCCAGUCAAGCACAGAGAACAAUCCUGCAAACAUUAAUUAGAUCAUCAUCAUUAUAUUUAAAUGGAAUGUUUUGCUGAAGAAGAAAAAUACUACUCUACUUUAGAAGAAACGAAGAAAAAUGAAGAGAAAAACUGAAAUACAAAAGUGCAUACAUUUUCAGACGUGAGUACUUGGCGCAUAAUACUUGACCGAGAGAAGAGAAGGUUGCGGUUGUGGUCCACGGUGUCUCGGGCAGCGAUCACACCAUACACAUUGAGUGGCCACUUCAGGUCGUCACUUAGUCCUGUAAUUUUGAAGGAAUAGAUCUGCAAGGUGCUCUCAAUGACAGCGGCACGGGGCGGGAUGAUACCGGGUAUGCAGUGCGUAAACUGCAUGGGACUCAAUGUGGCUGCAACACAAAUUAAGCAAAGACUAAGCAAAUUUCUUGAGACAUGCAUACAACAAACAGACUAAGCAAAUAGAGUCUGAGUAAGCAAUUUUCUUACAUGCAUAGGAUAGACUUGUUUUUUGAAAACUGUACUAAUUUAAAACCACAUUAUUCCAACAUGUGGGCAAGUAAUACUACAAUUUCUUAAAACCAUGGCUUUUCUCAGUUUUACAAGAACUACAGAGAUAUUUGGAUGGUGAUGUUUUACCAUAGUAUUGAUUGAUUGUUAUGGUGGAUGACAACUGAACCUAACUCAGCUUGGAGCUACACGACCAAUUAGCGACUUCUAACAGCCGCUGGGCUGCAUGCACCCACCAUGCACGCCGUCAGCACGUCAACAACUACUCCCUCCGUUCCUAAAUAUAAGUCUUUUUAGACAUUACACUACAAACUACAUACGGAUGUAUAUAAACAUACUUUAAACUGUAGAUUCACUCAUUUUGCUCCGUAUGUAGUCCCUAGUGGAAUCACUAAAAAAACUUAUACUCCCUCCGUUUCUAAAUAUAAGACCUUUUAGAGAUUCCACUAGGGACUACAUACGGAUGUAUAUAGACAUAAUUUAAAGUAUAGAUUCAGUCAUUUUACUCCGUAUGUAGUCCAAAGUGAAAUCUCUAAAAGGUCUUAUAUUUAUGAACGGAGGGAGUAUUUAGGAACGGAUGGAGUAGAUGCUAGGAUCUGUACCAACAAUUAUACAAUUCACUUCGAUUGUUUUCUGAUCAAAUUAGAGGAGACAGACUAAGUACUGUCACUACGGUGUUUGCUCCUGAGUUGUGACCAACUUUGCCAUCCAACAAGAGUAUGGCUUCUGAUUUUUGUACUGCCAUACCAACAAACCAAGCGAAAUUAACAGAUCGGCUAGCCGGCCUGAAAUUGCUGAUUAAUCUAAGCAGGAGAUACAUGAUUGGUCAAGGUUCAUCCAUGGACCAGAUCAAAGUAAUACAAUCAUUUGUGGCAUGCAUGUGCAUCUGCAGCAAAAACUAUGGAGCCUAAACCUAUAGAAUUGAGUAAGCUAAUUUCUUGAGAGAUGCAUAGCACAGAGCAAAGAGACUAAGUAAAUAGAGUUGAGUAAGCUAUAUAAUUAAGCUGCAGCAUAUAUGCAUGUUGUACUUACUUUUAUCUUCGAAUUCACCACACUGACCCGGCUUGCUGCCACUCGAGUAUUCCCAGUCUGUACGGUAGCCUGCAAAAAAUCCCAGAUGGUUAUCCAUCCAUUCUUUAAGUUGCUCCUUUGGGGGUUUUGCUUCCUGCUCGUCUGCGUGCUCCUCCUCCACAAUGGGCUCCUUGUGCUCCACAAUGCACUGCUCCUCCUCCACAAUGCGCUCCUUGUGCAGCAUCUGCUUCCUCUUUGCCUCCCUAUUCGCCUUCCUCUGCUUGCUCCUCUCCCUCAGCCGCUCCCUCUCCCUCUCUGCCUUCCUUUCUGCUUCCAUCUCCGCCUCCCUCUCCUCCAUCUCUGCAUGCCUCUUGGCCUCCCUCAGCCUCUCAUCCUCCUGCUCAUCCUCCUCCGUAAUCAUCAUUGCCAACUCAUUUCUGUAACAGCAGGGUCUGGCCAGGAUAUUGGAGGAGAGAUGCAAGAAGUCAUGGGCCAGCAUCAUCUUCCUCGCCGCCUGCUGCCUCCUCGCCUCCUCCUCCUCCUGCUCCUCCUUUGUUUCCAUCUUCUCGGUGAUCUUGGCAGAUGUAACUUGUGCAUCCUCCUCCUCCUUUGUUUCCAUCUUGUCGGUGAUCUUGGCAGAUGUAACUUGUGCAUCCUCCUCCUCCUCUUCCUGCUCCUCCUUUGUUUCCAUCUUGUCGGUGAUCUUGUCAGAUGUAACUUGUGCAUCCUCCUCCUUGUGCUGCUGCUGCUUCUUCUUCUUCUUCUUCUUCUUCUUCUCCUCCUCCUCCUCCUUCUUCCUCGUCAUACCCUUCUUCUUGUUGUCCUCGUCAUCCUUCUCCUUGUGUUGUUGUUGUUUCUUCUUCUUCUUCGCCUUUUCCUUCUUCCUCAUCCUCUCCCUCUUCUUCUUCUCCUCUUUCCUCUUCUCCUCCUCCCUCUUCUUCCCUGCCUCUGCUGCCUCCACCAUCACCUUCUCCAUUGCCAGCUCGGUAGAUUUGUAGAAAUCCUUGGAGGUCUUCAUUAGCUUGGAUGAUAUGCAAAGCAGCUCGUCAGCCUUGUACAAUGGGAUAUAGGAACUGGAAGUGAAAAGAAAAUGCGACAUGGAUAACAUCCGGUGGCCCAAACCCUCAAUAUCCUCCAAGAUACCUUCACCCAAGGGUUCAUUGCAGUCCACCUUGACCUUGACCUUGUCCCGGACGGAGGACGACGUUGGUGUUCCAGAGAGCGCAUCCACCCAGCGAGAAAUUCCGGGAGUAAGAGACCCAAUCAAGUCCUUGCGCUCGCGCUCCAGGGAUGUGAUCUCCGCCAUCAGAGUCGAUAAUUCCGUGGAUGGGUCGGACUGAAUGUCUGAGUCGGACCUGGUGUCCAUCUUCUUGUCCCCAACAGUCCAACACCCACCGUUGAUCUCCAAAGCACAAGUCCGUCCGUAGAGCUCUCCUUCCGAGCGAAAACAAGGGCUCGCUCGGACGGAUGCGGGGGAGAGGUGCGGCGGCUACGGGGAGUGAGGAUUUGUGCUUUGGAGAUGGAGAGAAAGGGGGCGAGGAGCAAACACGGGGAUACGGGGGAAAGGGGGCGAGGUUUUGUGGUAGCGGCGGAGUGAGUGAGGAUGGAGAUGGAGGGGAAGGAAUGGAGGCUGGCUGUGACCCAAGAAAGCCUAGCGGCCUAGCCCGGCUCGGACAAGUGUGGCCCAGUUCUCCGCUUGCCGGCCCAUCCAAUAACCUCCCUUCUUUUUAUUUCUUUUGUUUUGUCAACUUUAUUUUUUAUAAGAAAUGUUCAGAAAUUUCUCCUUUUUUCAUAUAAUCUCCCUUUUCUUAAAUUUUCUUCAGAAUUUUAAAUCUUUGUUCGACUCUUUAAUAAAACUAGCAAAAGGGCCCAUGCGUUGCAACGGGAGAAAGAAAUACCACACGUCACACACUCUUAAUUUAUAAAAAAUGUCUAUAAUUUGAGAAUUUAUAGUUACGAUACAAAUAAAGAUGGUCUUAUCCUAUAAAAAUGCAGUUCAAAAUUUCACGGGUCUUCUAUUUUAACACGGCUAGCAUGUAGAUUUAAUACGUACAAAGAAUCAGUCAAGUGACAUUCAGUUUCAUCUCUAAUCCUGAUUUUGUUAACGUGUUCAUCCCCAACCCGGAUGAGUACCGGUAUGAAAGAAAGACGAAACUUAUUUAUUAAGAUUGCAUCCUAGAUAGUAUUUUUAUUAAACGUUUAACAGAUAAAAUAAUAUCAUAUUUAAAUUCUACAUAUUUUUCUAAUCAAAUUCCAUGUAUAAUAUGUUAAAUUUGGAGUUACGGUUUAAAAGAUAUGAGUAUUUAAAAAAAUAUUUAAUAUAUACUACGAGUUUAAUGUCAUAAACAGUAAGGAUUUUUUUGUAAAAUUAUCUCGAUGGGUUUUCCGACGUAAGCGAUAGCCUCUUUAUUAUUAGGUAAAGAUAUGUUGGAAAAUUCAGAAAUAAUAGAAUUUACAAUUCUAAACAUGUUCACAUUUUCAAUUUUCUCUUCACGAAAUUAGCAAACGUUUCGGAACUAAGAAAACGUUCCACUCACAAAUUUGUUUGGAAUUUAAGAAAUCGUUCUUCCUUUGUAAAUAUGUUCGCAAACUAAUAAAAAAUCAAGAUUUCCAUUAAAUGUUGCCGCAUUCAUAAUUUGUUCAUAAACAAAAAAAUAAAAUUUUGUUCUCAUAUUUAACGUAUUUUAUCCUUUCAUACAGAAAUUCAAAAAAUUAUCUGGUAUUUCUAAAAAAGUUUAAUCUUUCCAAAUUUAUUCACAAAUUCAAGAAAUGUUCAUGUUUUCAAAAUUUGUCAACAAUUCGAAAAAUCUUCGGGGAAUUUCUUUUUUUACAAUUUUAAAGAAAAAUAACUUCCAAAAUGUUCUCAUUUACAAUUUUAGUUACAGUUUUCAGAAUACGUUUGCAUUUAAAAAAAUAUUUUUCAUAAUUUUAGGAAUUCUUCUCGUUUUCAGUUUUGUUCCCUUUUUCAAGAACUGGUCGCGUUUUCACAAAAUGUUCAUGGUUUCAAGAAUUCGUCCAAUUUUUUAAAACUUUUCUCGUUAAAAAAAUUACUUACUUCUUUCAGAAGAAAGUUGCACGUGAAAUUUCAAAAAAUGUUUAAAUCUGUUGCGGCUUAUAUACACCGAGCUUCUAUUUUAGACACAAAUUCUGUGAAAUUAUAGUGGCGAGCGUUCCAGUUGGUAAGCAUGAGCUCCUUGGUUCAAUCACACACUGGGGCUUGUAUUUGGGUUUUUUCGCUUGAGUUUUGCCACCGUUGUUUGUUUCUUAAAGUGUUGUGUUGCAACUCUAGCACAAGUCCACGGUCUGCUUCCUAUACUUGGCGGAGCAUACUUCAUGGCAUGGAUCUUGACAAGAGAGGAGUCCGAUGGGGUGUGGGUAAUGGUGCUUCCAUCAAGAUCCAGGAGGAUCAUUGGAUUCCUGGAGUGAGCCCUUAGUUUUUGCAUGUGCUAUCUCCUCUCUCGGAUGUCCGAAAGGUGAACUCUCUCUUUGCUGAUGAUGGUUUUACUUGGAACAUACAACUAGUCCGAUCAGUCUUUGAGGAAUCGAUUGCGGAUCAAGUACUUCAACUUCCCAUCAGUCGUUUUGGUGACACUGACUUUGUAUCAUGGUCGCAUACUCGUUCUGGCACAUACUCGGUUCGGUCUGCCUAUCAUUUGGCCAGGAUGACAAAGAUGAUCGCCUCUCGUAGCAAUUCGGGCCGUGGUAUGCCGUCUAAUCUUCAAAGUGAAGCCACAUCUUGGAACAAAAUCUGGGCGAUCAAGGCGCCGGGGAAGAUGUUGAUAACUAUAUGGAUGUUCGCUCAUGAUUGCUUGCCAACCGGAAUGCAACUACACCGGAGACAUAUUCCUGCAUCUAAGGUUUGUGUCCAUUGUUCUGUUGAUGAGCACGUAGAACAUGCAUUGCUAUUUUGCCCAUAUGCACAAGUUGUUUGGUCUGAUGUCAAAGAUUACUUCAACGUGCAUCUUUGUUUGAAAGGGUUCACAAAUUGCAAACACAUGGAUCUUUGAUUUUAUGGCUCGUUGCGAUGAUCUUGCUGCUACAGUUCUUGUAGUCACGUGCUGGCAUAUUUGGGACGCUCGUAACAAGCUCCGGGAAGAAAAUAUUAAUCAGCAUCCUUCUAGUCUUGCUCUGAAAAUUAAAGCAUAUGUUGACAUGAUAGUGGAGCAUUUGUUCAUUACCAAAACCAACCAUAGGCGUGAACCCUCUACAACAACAUCCUGGGUUCCGCCACCGGCAGGUAAGGUGAUGAUAAACGUUGACGUUGCCCUUUUUACAAAUGCCAGGAGCAUGGGGGCAGGUGUGAUGACGCGAGAGCAUUCGGGUUCUUGCAUUGUUUGUUGUGGUAUUGGUGUUCCUGAGGUAAUCCUUCUUGAGCUAGCGGAGGCCAUUGCAAUCCAGAGAGGCUUGCAAUUUGCAUUGAGUGAAGGUCUUCGGGAGGUCUUACUCGCUUCUGAUUGUUUGACUGUUGUUCAACGUAUCAAUUCGCCGAGCCUGGAUCGAUCUAUUUAUGGUCCUGUGAUUCAGGACAUCAAGCAACUUAGAGCAUCUCUAGUAGAAACCUCAAACCCUUAAAUCUAAAACCAAUUUUAAGGGUUGAGAAUUGAUCAUUUUUGACACUUUUAAGGGUUGAAAAACAGAGGCAAAGACUAGAACCCUCAAACCCAACCCUUAUAACGGAAUAUUCCUGUGAAUCGACGAGGAGAGCUCGGGCGGCCUCUUGCUGCGGGAGGCGGAGGGCGCGGGGGGUGGCGGAGGCGGCCGGGGAGGUCGAGGCGGAGGCGGGCGGCGGACGGGGAGGCCGAGGCGAACGGCGGCUAGGGAGGUCGAGGCGGGCGGGAGGCGGAGACGGCGGCUGGGAGGCCGAGGCGGGCGGCAGCGGCGGAGGUCGAGGAGGCAGCGGCGACGGGGGAGGUCGAGGCGGGCGACGACCGGGGAGGUUGAGGCAGGCGGCGGGGGGGCGAGACAGCGGCGACGUCUCGGGAGGUUGAGGGGAGGCGUCCGGGGGCUGGACGGCGGCAGCGGCGGUCGGAGAGGCGGCCGGCGUGGGCGCGGGAGGUAGUUGGGAUGGGAAAUUUCCCUCCCGCGCUAGGAUGGAACGGUUUAAGGGUUGGGGUAGAUUUUGCUCCCCAACCCUCACUUCUACAGGUCGGGAGAGGGUUUGAGGGUUUGAGGAUUGGACCUCUAAUUUUUUUUACGGGUUUAAGGGUUCUAGUCUACGCCGUUUUUUCGACGAAAACUGUAAAAAAACGGUUAUUUUUAAAGGUUUGAAGGCUCUACUAGAGAUGCUCUUAGAGCUUCGUUCACUAGUUGUUCUAUAUUUCAUGUGCGUCGGAAACAAAAUGUAAUCAGCUAGAGUGUCGUGUUUGACGUGGUGUGUCUUUGGAAUGCAUACGGAAAACUAUUUGUCUGGACAUUAUGCCAUGAUUGUAAAGUGGAUGUGUUAUAAAAAAAAGAGCUAUUAUGUCGCAAAGGCUAGCACAGCAGACACACCACUUUGGAGUCAUGGGUUCAAAACCUCGCGCGGUUGCGCUUCUUUUUUCGUGUUUUUUUACCUCGCGAAUGCCAAAUGGGCCAGCCCAGGUGAGCCGUCCCCUGUGCGUAACAUCAGCUGUUUGACGCAAGAAGCGUCAUAUAGAAGCUCCCAUUAUUUUGCCUCAAAAAAAACUUUUUUACUAAAAUAAAUACGGACUCUUAUCAAUUUUCUCAACAAAAGAAAACUUUGUAAACUUUGACUAAGUUUAUGGGUAAAUAACCCACAUUAAAGAUAUAAAAAAAUGUCAUUUGUCAUGACAAGAUACCUAUUUUUUCUAUUUCAUUUAUUUACUACUGCAUUCGUCCCAAGAUGAAAAAAUGUUUUUUAAGAUGACAUAACUCUUUUCUAUGUUGAUAGUUUCCAUGAUAACACUACAUAACUCUUUUGUACUGCCGCACAAUGGGGUCAACAUAUUUCCACUUGGUCAACUACUGGACCAUUUUUUAUGUCUAUACAAAUCCAUAUAAACAUUAUAACGUAUGCAACAAUGGCGCUCUCUCGUGGUAGACACGUCAUCACAGGUACGACGAAAAAAGCACGACCGCUCUUACCUGCAGGUGUAUGUAAUACCCCUAAAAAAGGAAGAGAAAGCCUAUCCAACUCACAAUCUCAACCAUCUGGUUACCUUAUCAAUGGUCAAAAAUCAUUGUUAACGAAAGUUCAUCGCUAACGAAACCAACUGAAGCUAAUCCCAUCACUGAGUAAGGCCAUGUUUGGAAAUACAAUAGAUUAUGAUAACCUAGAUUAUGAAGAUAAAUUAUAUAGUCUGGUUUAUAAAAAUAAUCUAGGUAGACAUGUUUGGAGGUCAAAUUAUAUAAACUAUAAUCCAGAAUUUUACAUUGCAUAAUGACGUGUUUGUCCUCAGUUUUUUUUAAAAGGAGUGUGGCGGUGGAAGAAAUGUAACUAUCUCCAACUUUACAAGGGUGAUGGAUCAUUAGCAAUCCAUAAUGUGAUUUUAGUUGGAAUAAAGUAGAUUGUGAGUUCUUAAUAAUCUAUCAUCUUUUUUUUUUGAGAAAACAGACCAGCCACAACUUUACAAAUUAAGAGGGGAGCAAUUACAAUCCUCUCUGAGGAUAUUCCUUAAAGAGGGAGGGACAUCUCCUAAUUUGAAGUAGUCACCGUGUCUCCUGUCAGAGCAGCAAGCUCAUGUGCCAGCUUGUCGCUGGUUCUGUUUAUGACUGAAAGUUACCUCCUUGAACUCCUUUUUGACAUGCUCGACAUCUACGAUUAGUGGGAAGUGGCAAGACUGGUUUGUCCCCUUACUAUUCAGCAACAAGACAAUAGUUGCACAAUCCGAUUCCACAUUCACCGGACCCGUGUAGUAUUUGCUAAGGACUGAGAGCCCGUGCAAAACAGCAGCCAAUUCAGCUUGUUCUGGAUCCGUGCAUGCAUGUAUUCGAUGUCCACAUGCCAUAGCCACCAUACCUUCAUGCGCUCUAACAAUUAUUCCUGUCGUAGUGUCACCCGUAUUGUCUAGGAAAGAUGCAUCUGUGUUCAGUUUCCACCAGUCUUUGUCAGGUGGUUCCCACUUACUACUCACAUCUUGCUUUUGUCCCAAGAUCAGUGGAGGGCUUUGACCUGUAUGUAGCGCACCACGGCCCCUCAUCAUCUGAUCUUCCACCAUACCUACCUAUAUGCGGUAUCUACCUGUCGUUCCAAGUAAAUUUGCAUGUGCCACUCUCUAAACCUUCAAGAAAUAAUCUGUUUUGCAUGCCCGAACUGCUCAUGUGGUGACAGGGGGCUAUCAGUAUCUUCCAUGCUAGGCGCGUUAUCCUCGAUAUGUGUUUAUUCACUAUCAUUCACAAGAAAGGGGUCGGUAAUUGGAAUGCCCAGUUCCAUGCUCAAAUCGAAAACAUAACUGUAAAACAAAACUCCCCCUGGAUUGAUGUUGGUAUGGACGGCACCCGAGUAUUCGGCUAGUCAUGGAGUGUGAUUGAUUGGUGGUGGGGGAGUUAAAACUUUACUUUUCUGUUUGGGAACCGCCUAUAGCAUGUGUAGCAUGGAAGAUGUCGAAAACUCUUGGUCAUUGCGUUGACAAUGAAAGCAUGCCACCCAAAAUUAUUAUCUCUGUUUUCAAAGCCUGAGCUCUGGCACCUCUGCAAAUCAAUGCUUCCCUCUGUGAAGGGCCUGUCUAUUCAUGUUCUUGUUGAGUCAUCCUCUUCUUAUAAAAGCACCAAUUAGAGAGCACCUCUGUCAUUUUUAUGCUUUGCUUUUAACUGUUAUUGAGUAUGACUGCGACUGGAUCUUCUUUGCCAUGAAUUAUAAUGUUUAGUCAGCCCUUGGUCUUUGAAAGUGCUCUGCAUUUAUGUUUUGCGGUCUCAGAAAGAGCUAGCGAGAUACCACCUAUUCAUAUUGCUUCAUGCUUGUUUUGAUUAAAGUGUUGGUAUCUAAAACUUAUUAUUAUUUGCUCGCUAGCUAAUUAUGCCAUUGAUAUUAGUUUACCGUGAGACCUAGAUGUCAUUUGCUUAUGUGGUUAGCUUGUGAUGUUGCUGAAAUUUUGGUUAUGAGUUAGACAUAGUUGCAGCAACAAGAUCAAACAGAGUUUGUAAUUUUUUUUUCUUUUGUCUCUUUCAGUUUGUCAACUGAAUUGCUUGAGGACAAGCAAGGCUUUAAGCUUGGGGGAGUUGAUACGUCUCUGUCGUAUCUACUUUUCCAAACUCUUUUGCCCUUGUUUUGGACUUUAAUUUGCAUGAUUUUAAUGGAACUAACCCGGACUGACGCUGUUUUGAGCAGAAUUGCCAUGGUGUUGUUUUUGUGUAGAAAUAAAAGUUCUCGGAAUGACCUGAAAAUUUACGAGGAAUUUUUGUGGAAUAUAUGAAAAAUACAUGCGCAAGAAUCCACCGGAGGAGGUGAGCCAGAAGCUCACAAGCCCAGGAGGUGCGCCUACCAGGCUUGUGGGGCCCACGGAGCUCCGCCGCCUCCAAUUCCAACUCUAUUUAGUCCCUUCCGUCCGGAAAGAAAUCAAGGAGAAGAGUUCAUCGCGUUUUACGAUACGAAGGCGCCGCACCUCCUGUUCUUCCCCUGGAGGGCAGACCUGAAGUCCGUUUUGGGCUCCGGAGAGGGGAGAUCGUCGCCAUCGUCAUCAUCAACCUUCCUUCAUCACCAAUUCCAUGAAGCUCUUCACCGUUCGUGAGUAAUCUAUUCGUAUGCUUGCUGAACGGUGAUGUGUUGGAUGAGAUCUAUCAUGUAAUCAAGUUAGUUUUGACGGGGAUUGAUCCCUAGUAUCCACUAUGUUCUGAGAUUGAUGUUGCUACUACUUUGCCAUGCUUAAUGCUUGUCACUAGGGCCUGAGUGACAUGAUUUCAGAUCUGAAAUUAUUAUGUUGUCGCCAAUAUAUGUGUGUUUUAGAUCCGAUCUUGCAAGUUGUAGUCACCUACUAUGUGUUAUGACCUGGCAACCCCGGAGUGACAAUAACCGGAACCACUCUCGGAGAUGACCAUAGUAUGAGGAGUUCAUGUAUUUACCAAGUGUUAAUGCGUUGGUCCGGUUCUUUAUUAAAAGGAGAACCUUAAUAUCCCGUAGUUUCCAUUAGGACCCCGCUGCCACGGGAGGGAUGGACAAUAGAUGUCAUGCAAGUUAUUUUCCCUAAGCACGUAUGACUACAUACGGAAUACAUGCCUACAUUACAUUGACGAACUGGAGCUAGUUACAUAUCUCUCUGUGUUAUAACUGUUGCAUGAUGAAUGCCAUCCAGCACAACCACCGAUCCAAUGCCUACGAGUUUGUCCUACUGGUCCUUGCUACGUUACUUUGUUGCUACUGCUGUAACACUUGCUGCUGUUGUUACUGUUGUUACUUGCUGCUGCUACUGUUACCACUGCUACCGUUGCUAUCGUACCACCUUGCUACUGAUACUUUGCUUGCAGAUACUAAAUCUUUCAGGUGUGGUUGAAUUGACAACUCAAUUGCUAAUACUUGAGAAUAUUAUUUGGCUUCCCCUUGUGUCGAAUCAACAAAUUUGGGUUGAAUACUCUACCCUCAAAAACUGCCUCGAUCCCAUACACUGGUGGGUUAUCAGGACAUAUUUUUGACGCCGUUGUAGGCAUCAAGCUAGGAAUAGUUGUCCGUCAACAGAGCACGCCUUAUUUGUUAUCUCACAUUCUAUUGGGCAAACUAGAUACAACCCAUUGGAGUAGUUGUAUGUUAAGGUGUUGGUUGAUGACAUGACAUAUUUUACUACUACCUCCGUCAGAGUUUAGAAGGCACACACGCGUAUUUAGGUCGCCAAUUUGACUUAUAUAAAAUUUAUUGUUUAAUAUAAAAAAUUUAUCAUUAGAAAAUAGAACAUCUAAAGUUUUUAAUGAUAUAUUUUUUGUAAUAUAUGCUUAUCAUUAAGUUAGUUAAAUUAACGACCUAGGUACACAUGCCAGACUUAUAAACUGAGACGGAGGGAGUAACAAGCUAACCAACAAACUGUUGGAGAUGCCCUUAGUGGUUGUGAGUUACCGUGCAUUAUUUUCUCCAAUAAUUAGGAGUCAUGCGGUUAUUGUAUGAGCACUUGCAAAAAUAAUUAGAUCCAACCAAGAUUCACCUUGGUUGCAGAAAUAUUCCAUGCAUGUUUUUUAAAUCGUGACGAAUGGAGUAGUUCAGGUUAAAAUUAACUCUAACAUAUAACUCAACUAUAAGGCUGGUCGUAAUGGGGGUAUCAUAAGUAGUAUCAUGUAUGCCAACUAGGUUUAUUUGAUGAUGUGGCACAUCAUUAAAUGAAGAAAGAGAGGAUAUGGUAUCAUAUUAUGAUACAAUAUCAUAUUAGAUGUUGUACUCUCUUCGUUCCUUUUUUGUUUGCGUUUUAGCUUUUAUCCGGAUACCAAUGAGGGUAUCAUAUCAUGAUACAAUAUCAUAAAUGUUGUACUCCCUUUGUUCCUUUUUUGUUUGCGUUUUAGCUUUAAUCCGGAUACCAAUGAGAGAAGCACUCAGCAAAAUUUGGACUAUUUUACCCUUGAAUUGCUACAGAGGAGAGUUAAUCAGGGGCAAAAUAGUCCAAAUUUUGAUGAGUGCUUUUCUUAUUGGCAUUCGGCUUGGAGCUAAAACGCAAACAAAAAGGAACGGAGGGAGUAUCAUAUGCAUGAUACAGAUACUCCUUCUUAGGGGCAGCCUAACUGGUAUCCAAACAGGGUCACAGGUCUUUGGGUAGUUUUCAGUACACCUCAUGCCACGCACGACCGUUGGUAUGUAUCGACAAAUAUUACUACAUACAGUAUGUACCGACCAAGAUGCGGUCCUUUCCGAUCUGGGGAUCGAGGCCCCGAAUUGGAAAGGAGCGCAUCUAAGCGUCUCGCAAACAGGUAACACAACACAUACAUAAUAAUAAAGAUAGACAAUCAGGGAUUCAAUUGCCUUCUCAUAAAUAUCUCAGAGUACAUCACACAUACAACCAAGGUAGUUUUGCUACGGACUACAAAACAUAGAAAGGCUAUGCUACCCUGCCUGCAGGCCCACGAUCACGACCACGCCUCAGUCUUCUGGAUAGUUCACGUUCAUGCGGUCUGUCUCCUCGUCGUACUGCCACGCCAGCUGCGUGCCGUCGGGAUCAUCUGUCUCUGGGGUACCUGAACCUGUUGGUAUUGUGGAGGAAUCCGUGAGCCACGGGGACUCAGCAAUCUAAGACCUUGGUUCCAGAACUAGCCAAGUUAUUAGGUAGGAUAAGGUGAAGUGUUUAAGGUUGCAACAUCCUAAGUUUGAUUUGGUGGCUAUCUUACGUAGCAUUUAUGAAGGUGGUUUACACUAGCGGUCGCGAAUACUUGAUCACUAAGUGAUCCUGAACACCUACCUACGUCAUUCAUAACCCCACCGUGUUCCCGAUCGAAGAGAGAUCUUCGAGGGGACAGUCACGGUUACGCACACAGUUGGCAAUUUUAUUAGCUUUUGUUUAAGUUAUCUAAUACUGGAUGUUAACAAAAUAUUCCAAGUUGCCACAUAACCGCAGGCACGGCUUUCCGAAAGAUUAAAGCCUGCAGGGGUGCUCCAACUAGUCCAUCACAAACGUACACAGGCCGCAAAGUAAUCCUCUAUCACGAAUCUCGUGAUCUCGUCGGAUUCCUUAGAGGAAAACCUCAACUCUGGGGAAAACCAAAGCUUCACUAGGAUUCCUAUACGCAAGAUAUAUUGCUAAGGUAAGUCAAGACUAGCACGACCUCCCGUCAUGUCGACGACCCUGAUAAGAGCCGCGUAUCUCAGUCUCAGGACACGACGGAUGAGCUAGACGUCGGGAUGGCUAAACCUCUGGGUGACCAGUGGGGCCCCGGACAUCGCUCAGGUGUGACCAACACUCAUGAGGAGCACUGGCCCGGGUUGUUGAUUAAAUUCCUCGGGGUAGCUAUUCCCUAUGCAGAUUAGUAUGUGAUUAGCAGAUUAAAACCAAUGUUGGGUCCUGCCGGACAAGCCUUAGCACUACACGAUUUAUGAGGGGGUCCCCAUAACAACCCCGAACGUGUUAGGAGCGAUCAUUAUGGAAUCAAACACCGGUAGCCGGUAACUAAGGCGGCAAUAACGGAAAAAAGCACCCGGCAAAAGGCUAGGCCUUCCGUCAUUUACCCGGUAUAUAGGUGCAUUAAUUAAAUAACAGAAAUUAAGAUAACGAUAUCAAUCUCAUGUCGUCACAUGAGACAAAGCACCUGCAUCUAGCAACGCUAACAUUAGUAGAUGAGCAAAGCCUACUUAGCAUUCAAGUUUGCUAGGAAGGGAUUGGUGUUUGGGUUCAUGGCAUAUCAAGAGGCAAUUUAAUUCAGUGGUAGGCAGCGAGCAGUAUGACAUGGAAACGCAAACUAGCAUAACAAGUCCAGAGAUGGAAUCAAGGUCAUAUCAUCUUGCGUGUGAUAUCCUCAGCUUGGAUUCUUGUUCGUCCUGCACGUACUCUCCCGAAUCCACGUACUCGUUCUCCGAUCCGAUGCUACCCAACAUAAAAAUAACAUCCAAUGAACAACAACACCUCAAGAUGCAACAAGCACAUGAUGCAUGAGAUGAAUAUAAGCAUGCAUCACUAAUUUCUAUCACUAGCACAAGCAAAAGAAGCUAAUACAAGUUCCUGGACAGAACUGUAACCUAGGCUAUUUUGACAUGCAUUAGAAUGACAUGAUCAGAUGCAUCUCGAGAAAUCGAUGCAAAACCAUAUAAAGAACAAUACAAUCGGAGCUACGGAUCAACGGGAAUCAACGAAACAAGAUAUGAAGCCCUACGUGUCAAAAUCUUCACCACUCACUCAAAUGGCACAAAUCUUGUAUUCCCAGGUUGCCAAGAUAUAUUACAACCCAACAUGAACGGAUUGGAGCAAGUAAGAUCACCACAACAUCAACUAAGCACUCACAAACUUCAAAAUGACAAAACUACACAAUCUGCCAUAAACUGCAUCAUAGCACUUUGUGAGCUACAUGCAAAGCACCUACAGCCACCCAACUAUGACAAAUAAUAUAUGUGGCUGUAGCUAGGAAAGAAUAAUACCAGCACUAGCAAGAAUCACACAAAAAGGAAUUAAACACAGGAAGAUACAAGGCUGCAAACUUUCCCAAAACCAUUAGAUCACAGGGACUUAGUGAAAAUUCCUGCACCUAACUUUCUGUCUUUGCUCUGAAGCUUUUUGACAGCAGCCAAAACAAUACCUAAAGAGCUCCAAAUGACAUGAAAUUUUACAAGGAGCUAGACAAACAUAUCAGGUCCAACUUUGUAGUUGGAAGCUAGGGCUAUAUCACAACACAAUGACCAGCACAACCUCAUCUACAGGAGAAUAAAAUAUAUCCAGAUUCUCAGACUUAAUGAAAAUUCCAGAUUUUCACUAAGCUGGAAUUUCAGCCACAAGCCUACUUUGGAUGGGCACAACUUGCACACAUGGAUUCCAAAUCACGAAUUGAAACCAACAUGUGGUAGAGGGGGUCACCCUCUACUACCACAACCAAUAAACAAAUACAAGAGCACCUCCUAACCCAUGGAACCAAGCUCUAAACUUAGAAGAAAAUGUAGAUAUGAAUUUUCCAGAAAAUGUUCCAAUGGCAAAAAUGAUUUCACCAAUGGAUUCAUGGGAUCUUUCAAUCCCAAAACCAUAUAUAAAACACAUGCACUUGCUUGGAGCAAGUGAGCUCAAACUAGCAAGGAAAAACUACAUAGAAUCCAACAUAAUGAAUAGUGCAACAUUUCAUGCAACUCCCACUAGAACAACUAUCACAUAUCUAUGCUCAUGUGCACAAAGACAAAAUGAACAUGAGGGUUUGGACCCCAUGUUGGUGUCAAGCACAUCAACAACACAAAUACUUCUCACUAAGACACCCACACACACACAUCAUGCUCUCUCUCAUAUUAAACAUGAGGAGGUGCACAACUUGGAUGUGGGGCUGUUUUCACCACAUGCAUAUCAUCAACUCAUAUGCAUGUCAUCUAGUAGAAUCCACACCACCUACACAUGCUAGCAACACAAAAGAAUGCUAACACAUGCAUAUGUCAUUUACACACACAUGCAUACAUACACUAGCAACACCUCAUGUGUGUGCAACACUCACACACACAUGCACAUACCUACUGCCAUCUAACUAGACACACAAGGAAAAGAACACAAACCACCUACACUUACAUCAACUACAAGGGAGGCACCACACACACAUCACCUACACAUGCGGCUAACUCCAUGUGUAUGCACACACACACACAUACACCUCUCACAUGAACACACACAUGCAUCACAUCAUAUCGCACUUCUAUAGCAGCAAAGGAAAAAAAUAAAAUGCCAUUGUCACCUAUGGAUUUUUGGCACAAGAAUAGCAACAAGCAAAGAGGAAAAAAUAUAGCAUGAAGGAAAAGAAAAGGGGGCACCCUGGGAUUCGAACCCCUGUGCCCCUGGUGCACAAGCUCUGCUCAUACCACUCUGCUACUGUCAUUAGCUCGACAGAACGGAGAGGGCCAUGCAAGGUAAGGUUACUACCCUGCUACUGUGCUACUGUGCAAACAACGCAAAUCAAAAAUAAGGUGCCGAAGGGGGGAAUCGAACCCGCGCCCUUCUCAUCAAGCACACGCACUUGCUACCACUGGGCUACGGCUCGAUGACUGACAGAGGAGGGUACUGACGCAAGAAAGGCUACUGCUACUGACUACCUGUCUACAGGGGCGCACCAGCGUCAGGGAGAACGACGGGGCUGCCUCGACGUUGUUGCUGCUGCUGCACCAAGAGGAGAGGCAAGUCACCUCUACUACCGACGAUGCCCUACGAGGGGGAGGAGCCCCUCGUGCACAACAUACAUGCACAACAUCCCCCUAGCACUGCACCACACACCACAUGACACGAGGGAAACCUGCUGCUGCUCUACCCGACAAAGAACUCGCGACAGGGAGAACGACGGGGGAAACUCCCUCGCGCAGCGCUGCUAGCACGAGGGGGAGGAAGCACCCCUGUGCGCAACACACCCACAUACUCAUCUACACGUACUGCACCAUGCCCUGCUACCGAGCUACGAACAGAGAAAUGCGAGCACUUCCACGACGGAUCUACGACGGAACGGAGGAGGAAGAAGGAAGGGGGACGACGUCCUCACCUAGAGAAGGAAGUAGGAGGCCGAUCUGUGGAGGAAGAAGCGCUGGAGGGGAAGAAGAACGACGACGAGGGAUCUGCAGAACCGAAGCACGGGAAGGAGCAAGAACACCGCGGGCGCGCCCUUGACGAGCUCGGGGCCGUCGGUGUGGUUGAUCCCCGAGGCUCCUAGCGCCAGGAAUGGAUCGCGGGGAACCACCCUGAGCUCCCGGACAUGGCGGACGGCGCCGGGCGGCGAAGUAGGCGGGGUAGACGCGACGAGUCCUCUCUCUCUCUGCUACUGUCUACAGGCGACUUACCUGACAGAGAAGAGAGAUGGGGAAGGAGAGAGGUGGCGGCGACGGAUGAGGGGAGAGGAGGAACCCUAGGAGGAGGGGGGAGGCACGGACGCCAACGCGUUAUAAGGGGGGACCUCGACGUCCGUGAGACCUCAUGGCGUGCUCGCUCUCUCUCUGAUGCUAACGGAAAGCGUGCACGCUGGGAGGGCACGACGUCAGGAAGGAGGCGGUAUGUCGUGGGACUGGGCUUAGCGCGGGGGAGAGAGGUACUGGGCCACCAGGGGGGAGGAAACCCUCCUGAGCGCCACAUAAGAUAAAGCAAUACCCUGGGACCUUUCCUUUAACAGAAAAAGCCAGAGAAUAAAGGAAUGCACAGAGAAAACUACUGGGGAUAAAAACAAAGCAAAAUUACCCCUGGUCAUGGAAAAAUAUGACCAAUUUAAAUCAAAUAGCAGAGAUGUAUUUGGGGCAACUCAAUAUUUUCAAAACAGCAUUAUCAUUGGCUGUUUUGGGAAUAUUUGCACCACAUGAAACACCCUUUAAAACAACAUUUCACAACUCAAAAAUCACCACAAGAUACAGCUAACACAUGGGCAUUUUUAAAUCAGGGAAGGAAGAAAUGAAACUUGAGCCUGGAAUAAAAGGGAGAGGGAAGGGUUUUUAAAACCUAAGCAACUCACAACUAUUCCUACUAUCACAUGCAAACUACUAGAGUUGCACCACUCCACUACUCAUCACAACCACAUAUCACACAAGCUCACAAGCAUCACAUCAACACAUAAGAACACAAUGCAACAACACAAAGACAUGGACAUGAAAUACUAUGGCAUGCAUGCAUGCAAGGAAGAAAUACAAGGUGACACACAUGAAAUCAUGGCACAAAUGAUAUCAUCAUAUCCAAGACAAGGUAGACCCACUUGCAAUAGGUUCCAAAUAGGGAAGGUUUACAUCUGGGGCACUACACAGUAGUACCACAAACAAUUGAGGAGGACCGUUCGUUUCUCUCAGUCAUGGUGGAUGGAUGUGACAUUAUUGUUGUGGGAUCCCGUUAAUUGCGAGGUCGGUCGAUACACACGAGGCUGCGCCUACCGCCUAUAUACUCCCUCCGUUCCUAAAUAUAAGUAUUUUAAGAGGUUUCACUAAAAGGACUACAUACGGAUGUAUAUAGACAUACUUUAGAAUAUAGAUUCAUUCAUUUUGCUUCGUAUGUAGUCCUCUAGUGAAAUCUCUAAAAAAACUUAUAUUUAGAAACGGAGGGAGUAUAACACAACACCUCUGCCAACAAGAUGAUCUCUUCCUCAAGUCCCGUCCCGUCCCGUCCCACCAACCAACAUAACAGAGAUGCAAGGGCAGCGUCCGGUUCGGUGCAUCAACGCUUCGGCGACGUCACAACUGGUUCGGUGCAUCCACUCUCCGUCCUGCGACAAUUUACGUGAUUGCUAGCCGAUACACGCCACGCUUCCGUGCGCCCCAGCCGCACAACGGACCGAUGUUGGCCCGCCAGCCGGAAGACCCCAGCGGUGCACAACGGGCCGAUGUUGGGCCGCCCGGCGUUGCUUGUCUACUCAUAAAAAGCCAAGGCGCCCCAAACCCCUAAACCCAGACUACUGUUCUCGUUCCCUCUCAACCCCCCCCGAAGCUUCCGUAAAUCAACCUCCUCCUGCGGCGGCGGCGGGCGGCGGCGGCGGCGCCCGCUCUCCCACUUCCCCCUUCACCGACGGCUGCCGCGAAUCCAUGUGAGUAGACAAGCCCUCAUUUGUAUGCCGGGUUAGCAUUCUCUCGGUUUCGUUCGUGCCGCAAACAAAAACCAAUCUGAUCUAGGGUUAUUCGACUUAGAUUCUCUGAUGAUUCGACGCUCAUCGAGGACCAUCUUCCACUGCCCCCAUCACCUGUUAGCUACGAAUCCAUGGUGAGUCCAGGAGCCCCCGUCUCUCUAUCAUUCUCUUGUUUUACUCCUCAAAUGAGCUUGAUCUGAGCUAGGGUUCUUCAAGCAGGGUCUCCUAUUAUUCGACGCACAUCCAGGACGAGAUUAGCGUUCUUCAGGCAGGAUCUCUGAUUCGACGACCAUCAAGGACUAACCCUAUGCUCUACCAGAUUGCAGCAGCAAGGUACUUCCUUCUUCUGAAAUAUGCCCUACCUUGCAUGUUGUCCAGUUUUCCUUACCGAUUUGUGCCCUCUUUCCGGUCUCUUGCUAGAUGUCUUCGUCAUCACAGGCGACCCUACACGUCUUGUACAAGAAAUAUAGGGAUGAAAACCUCAGGAAAACAGGCUCAGGGCAGCUCACUUAUGAAGUGAGUUUUCUCUCUUCCUCGUAUUGGUUUUAAUUUGUUGUGUCUGUUUGAUUACAAUUGCUAUGAUGCAUCAAGUUGCAUCUGCUUCAUGCCGUGGUGUUUGAUUAUAAUUGCUAUGAUGCAUGAAGUUGCAUCUGCUUGAUGCNNNNNNNNNNNNNNNNNNNNNNNNNNNNNNNNNNNNNNNNNNNNNNNNNNNNNNNNNNNNNNNNNNNNNNNNNNNNNNNNNNNNNNNNNNNNNNNNNNNNNNNNNNNNNNNNNNNNNNNNNNNNNNNNNNNNNNNNNNNNNNNNNNNNNNNNNNNNNNNNNNNNNNNNNNNNNNNNNNNNNNNNNNNNNNNUGUGGUGUUUUAUUAUAAUUGCUAUGAUGCAUGAAGUUGCAUCUGCUUGAUGCCGUGGUGUUUGAUUACGAUUGCUAUGAUGCAUGAAGUUGCAUCUGCUUGAUGCCGUGCUGGUGAUAUAUCUAUUGUUUCUAUCACCCGCUGAGAUUUUUAAUCACUCUAUUCUCUAGUCCACAUACAUUCGACUCUCUGUAUCAAAGGAAUUUACUUCAUUAAUGUUAUGCUAUCAAUCUGCAAAUGGUUUAACAUACUUACUUCCUGCUACUACUGUACACUAAGACAUUAAAUGUGGACCUUGCUGAUGUUGUACCACAAAUCUCAUAUGCUAAAGAUAUUUACUUCUUGGUUUUACUCAACAAUAAGAAAUUACAUUUGCACUUCCCCAAUGCCCUGUUUAGUAUUUGUUUGGUCUUGAGGAGAUUUAUCUAAUCCCUUUUAUUUCUCGCCUCGGAUAUCCACUUGUUUAAAUCUUUUUUCUGUAACAUUUCUAACUUAAACAAUUUACACAGGAGAUUCCGAAGUUUCCCUAUGUUCGUGGCAAGUACACACUAGAUGUGCCAUGUCCAUCUUGGGCUCCUGACGAUUACAAGAGGUUCAACUUCUUGUCCACCAGGCCUACGCUAUUGGACCUUCGCAAUCUCUUUAAUCAAGUGCAUGAGCAUUUUGGGAGACAGUCCCCUCUGACUCUUGAAAGUGAAUCCAAGACUGGUGGAGUCCACAACACUCGAUACACGUCAGAGCCCCCUGUUUUUGAAGAGGUAGUGUUCUCUAUGUUACUUGCAACUGUCUCUUCAUACCUAAUGGAUUAGAUACUGUUGCAAUAUAGUAAGAUCUCAUUGUUUGCAAGCUUCACUGCUGCUGUAACAUAUUUUGUAUAUGUACUUGUUUGUGGGGCAUUCUAGUUUCGUGCUCCAAUCAAUUGUAUCAAGUAUCCUAUAUUCACUUGUUGUUAAAAUGUUUAUUGGACAGGAGACUUAUUAUAUUGUUAGGCUGCGUACUCACCAUCGGAAGAAGUAUUCAGGGCGUGCGAGGGUUGUCAUUGAGCUCUUACUUAGAAAUAGUGAUAAUUACUUGGUUGCAUGGAGGCUUAUUCAUGAAGCUGCUGACUACAAAACAGCGUAUUGGUGCCUGUUCACUGAUACUCGUACUCUAAAUCAAAAAGGGCUUCUCAAAAAUAAGUGCAAACAUACCAAAUAUACAAAUGGGUACAGAAAGCAUCUGUAUGUAUUUCUUGUCUCCUUUCCUGUUUGUGUUCAUUUGUUUGCUUUGUAUUCAUUUUAUUUUUGGGUUUUGUAUGACACCAUUUCAUUUCUCCAUGCAGAGGGAAGGUCAAAAUUUAUGAUAAAUUUCUGCUUGAUGCCGAAUAAUUUUUGCGAAAGCUUUACGCUGCCCCUGCAGCGGAACCAACAGAUGAAGGGUACCGCAUAUUCCAGACUCUGUUUGUGCUGUUCGGUGAAGGUCCAAGAUUUGGUCCGGUGGACAGUCGCACGUUUCAGUCAAUCCUAAAAUCCAUAUCUGAUGUGGCUGCCAUUGGGAAUGGCCGGCUGCAUAAUCUGAUCAAGAACUGGAGGAGCAUGAGCUUUACAACUUUGGUCUUGCACUUACUUCUCUUGGAGGAAGCCAUCAUUGACAAAAUAGUAAGAGAGCGUGGACAUGUGCUGGAUGGGAAGUUUUGCCGUCUGGUUGAUGAAGUUCAGAUUCACCGUACAGUGCUGGCCAAGCGCUUUUGUUCUCUGUUUGCAAAUGUGAAGGAAUUGAACUCGUACCCAGCAUUGAGAUGUGAGGCACACAGGGUUCCUGUUGAAGCUGAUAAUCAAUUGGGGCCUUUCACAAUUGCAAUCUCUGACCCUUCUGCCCGUGGCCAUAUGACCUUGGAACAGUUGACAGAUAACUUCUUGUACCUUUUGAGGUUUGAUUACGAGCUAGUCCUUGGAAUUCUAGCAAGGAUGGAGGGCUUUGAUGAUGUCCUCAACCUCAAGACGCUAAGCGUCUCACAAGAAACAACAGAUCAAGUUCAGUUUGCUACAAAGACCUUCUGAUGUAGCUAGUUCCUGGAACUCUAGCAAGGAUGGAUGGCUUCGAUCAUGUGCUCAACCUCAAGAUUAAGCGGCUGACAAGCAACAAGAGUUCCAAGUUUAGUUUGCUACAAAGACCUUCUGAUGUAGUUCAUGGAAUUCUAGCAAUGAUGAAUGGCUUCGAUCAUGUCGUCAACCGACGCUAAGCGGCUGACAAGCAACAAUAGUUCAAGUUUAGUUUGCUACAAAGGCCUUCUGAUGCUCAACCUCAAGAUUAAGCGGCUGACAAGCAACAACAGUUCCAAGUUUAGUUUGCUACAAAGACCUUCUGAUGUAGUUCAUGGAAUUCUAGCAAUGAUGGAUGGCUUCGAUCAUGUCCUCAACCUCAAGACGCUAAGCGGCUGACAAGCAACAAUAGUUCAAGUUUAGUUUGCUACAAAGGCCUUCUGAUGUAGCUAGUUUAUGCUAGCAUUGAUGGAUGGAUUCGAUCAUGUGCUCAACCUCAAGACGUUGAUGAUUUACCACGUUUGUUUGUGUUUAACCAUUUGACUACACAACAUUUGUAAUAAUAUAUGUAGUAGCUACCUGGUACAUUGCGUAGUUAUGUCGCAAACCGAUGACUGGAGGGCUCUUUCUUUUGCUAAUCAACUCAUUGGUCUUAUUUUCUCCAUCCUUUGAACUGAAGCGCUCUUUCUUUUGUAUAACCACGUCCAUAUGAUGCAUGCUUGCAUGGCCUAAUUGCUGUAUAAUGCAUCCAAAAUCUGAUUGAGGACAACGAAACCUCUUUGCGACAAGCCGAGAUUUCUAAAUGGUGACAUUUAUCAUCAUCAUUUGUCUUUUUUUAAACCAAUUUGUACUCCCUCCGUUCCUAAAUAUAAGUCUUUCUAGAGAUUUUACUAGUAGACUACAUACGGAUGUAUAUAGACAUAUUUUAGAGUGUAGAUUCACUCAUUUUGCUUCGUAUGUAGACUCUUAGUGAAAUCUCUUAAAAGACUUAUAUUUAGGAACGGAGGGAGUACUUAAUAGCCUUAUGACCAUUAAGUAGUUCUUUCAAAGUCAAUACUUUGUUUUCAUCAGCUACGAGGUUUAGUAGUAACUUGAUCCGAAGCUACAUGACCACUAUCAUCAGCUUCCACUUUCACUGAUGUAGGCGCCACAUGAACAACUUUAUGCGCUCUUCUACUCACUAGUUGAAGUGACGGUUCAAAAACCUCAUCAAGUUCCACCAUCCCCCACUCAAUUCUUUUGAAAGUACCCAUUUUAGAAACAAACACUUUGCCUUUUGGAUCUAGGAUAGGAGGUAUACCCAACUGUGAAGAUGCAUUUAUCCACUUUGGGUUUGAGCUUAUCAGGCUGAAGCCUUUUGACAUAAGCAUCGUAGCCCCAAAACUUUAAGAAACGACGGCUUAGGUUUUUUGCCAAACCAUAGUUCUACGGUGCAUCUGAACGGAAGUAUAUGGUGCCCUUUUAAAGUGAAUGCCGUUGUCUCUAAUGCAUAACCCCAAAACCAUAGUGGCAAAUCGAUAAGAGACAUCAUAGCACGCACCAUAUCUAAUAGGGCGCGGCUACAAUGUUUAGACAGACCAUCACACUAUGGUGUUCCAGGUCGCAUGAGUUGUGAAACAAUUUCCAAUUUUUCUUAAAUGUAUACCAAACUCGCAACUUAGAUAUUCACCUCUACGAUCACAUCGUUCCUCUUGUCAUGACGAUCUUCAACUUCACUCUGAAAUUGCUUGAACUUUUUAACAUUUCAGACUCAUGAUUCAUUAAGUAAAUACACAUGUAUCUACUCAAAUCAUCUGUGAAGUAAUAACAUAACGAUAUCCACUGCGUGCCUCAACACUCAUUGUACUGCAUACAUCAAAAUGGAAAUAAGUCUCUUCUUCGUUCCAUCUCUGGAAGACGAGGCCUUCAGUCAUCUUGUCCAUGUUGCAUGGCUUGCAUGUGCCAAGUGAUUCGAAAUCAAGUGAGUCCAAAAGAUCCAUUUGCAUGGUGUUUCUUCAUGCGUUUACACCAAUAGGAAUGGUUCGCAUGUCUCAAACGAUUCAAAAUCGAAUGAGUCCAAAGAUCCAUCAACAUGGAGUUUCUUCAUGCGUUUUAUACCAAUAUGACUUAAGCGGCAGUGCCACAAGUAAGUGGUAGUAUCAUUACUACUUUGUAUCUUUUGGCAUCAAUAUUAUGGACAUGUGUAUCACUAUGAUCGAGAUUCAGUAAAUCAUUCAUAUUAUGUGCAUGACCAUUGAAGGUAUUAUUCAUGUAAACAGAAUAACCAUUAUUUUGUGAAUGAAUAACCGUAUUGCAAUAAACACGACCCAAUCAUGUUCAUGCUUAAUGCAAACACCAAACAACAUUUGUUUAGGUUCAACACUAAUCCCGAAAGUAGAGGGAGCGUGUGAUGGUGAUCACAUCAACCCUAGAAACACUUCCAACACACAUCGUCACCUCGCUUUUAGCUAGUCUCAGUUUAUCCCGUACCUUUUAUUUCGAGUUACCAAUAUUUAGCAACUGAACCGUUAUCUAAUACACAUGUGCUACUAGGAGUACUAGUAAUAUACACAUCAAUGACAUGUAUAUCUAAUAUACUUCCGCCUUCUUAUCUACCAAGUAUCCAGGGCAGUCCUGCCUCAGUGACCAUUCCCCUCAUCAUAGAAGCACUUAGUCUCGGGUUUGGGUUCUUGGGUUUCUUCAUUGGAGCGACAACUGACUUGUCAUUCUCGAAGUUUCCCUUCUUUCCCUUGCCCUUCUUGAAACUAAUGGUUUUACUAACCAUCAACACUUGAUGCUCCUUCUUGAUUUCUACCUUCGCGGUGACAAACAUCGCGAAUAGCUCAGGGAUCAUCUUGUCCAUCCCUAGUAUGCUAUAGUUCUUCACGAAACUCAGUAGCUUGGUGGCAGUGACUUUGGAGAACUAUGUGAAUCACUAUCUCAUCUGGAAUAUCAACUCCCACUCGAUUCAAGCAAUUGUAGCAUCCAGACAAUCUGAGCACAUGCUUAACGAUUGAGCUUUUCUCCUUUACUUUGCAGGCAAAGAAUCUUGUCGGACGUCUCAUACCUCUCAACACGGGCAUGAGCCUAAAAUCCUAAUUUCAGCUCUUGGAACAUCUCAUAUGUUCUGUGACGUUCAAAAUGUUUGGGUGCCUCUAUUCUAAGCAGUAAAGCAUGACACACUGAACUAUCAUGUAGUCAUCAAGACGUGUAUGUGAGACAAGCUUGUGGUAGCACAUCAAGCGGUGCAUUAAUGACAUAGCCUCCUAUGCAACAAUGAGGACAAUCCUCAGUUUACAGACCGAGUCCGCAUAAUUGCUACUAUCAUCUUUUAACUUUGUUUUUCUCUAGGAACAUAUCAAAAUACACGGGAGCUAUAGCGCAAGCUAAUCAUCUACACCAUAAUUUUGCAAACACAUUUUGACUGUGUUCAUGAUAACGAGUUCAAUUAAUCACAUUACUUAAGAACUCCCACUUAAAUUGACAUCCCUCUGGUCAUUCGACUGGCACAUGAUCCAAAUUCACCAACCCAUGUUCGAUCAUCACGUGAGAUGAGGCGGCUUCAAUGGUGAACAUAUCCAUGUUUAUGAUGUCUACUAUAUGACUCAUGUUCGACCUUUUAGUCUCGUGUGUUCCGAAUCCAUGUCUGUACAUGAUAGGCUCGUCAAGUUUAACUCAAGUGUUCCGCAUGUGCAAAACUGUCUUGCACCCAUUGUGUGUGAACGUAGAGUCUAUCACACCCGAUCAUCACAUGGUGUCUUGAAACGACGAAUUGUCGUAACGGUGCACACUCAGGGAGAACACAAUUUUAUCUUGAAAUUUUAGUGAGAGAUCACCUUGUAAUGCUACCGUCGUCCUAAGCAAAACAAGGUGCAUAAAAAGGAUUAACAUCACAUGCAAAUCAUAAGUUACAUGAUAUGGCCAUGAACUUGUGCCUUUUGAUCUCCAUCUUCAAAGCACUGGCAUGAUCUCCAUCAUCACUGGCACAACACCAUGAUCUCCAUCAUCAUGAUCUCCAUCAUCGUGUUGCCAUCAAGGUUGUCGCGCCAACCAUGCUUCUACUACUGUUGCUACCAUUUAGCGAUAAAGUAAAGCAUUACAUAGCAUUUACUGAUUGACACGCAUGUCAUACAAUAAUUAAAGACAACCCUAUGGCUAGUGUCGGUUGCCGUAGCAUCAACAUGCAAGUCGAUAUUAACUAUUACAACAUGAUCAUCUCAAACAUCAAAUAUAUAUCAUCAUGUCUUUGGCCAUAUCAUAUCACAACGUACCCUACAAAAACAAGUUAGACGUCCUCUAAUUUGUUGUUGCAUGUUUUAUGUGGGUACUAUGGGUAUCUAGUAAGAAAACUUCUUACCUACGCAAAACCACAACGGUGAUAUGCAAGUUUCUAUUUAACCUUCUACAAGGACCGCCUUUGUCGAAUCCGAUUCAACUAAGGUGGGAGAGAUAGACACCCGCCAGCCAUCUUUAUGCAACAAGUUGCAUGUCAGUUGAUGGAACCGGUCUCUCGUACAUGAACGAGUAAAGUUGGUCUGGACCGCUUCAUCCCACAAUACCGCUAAAUCAAGAAAAGACUAAGGAGGAAGCAAUCUGAAUAUCAACGCCCACAAACUCCUUCGUGUUCUACUUGCGAUGUCAUCUACACAAAGACCUAGCUCAUGAUGCCACUGUUGGUAAGCGUCGCAUGGGAAACAAAAAAUUUCCUACGCUCACCCAAGAUCAAUAUAUGGAUACUAACAUCUACGAGAAGGGGCAUCCAAUCAUGAUCCGUCUCGCGAUCUCAUCACGAUCCGUUCCGAGAUCCCAUCAUGUUCCAUCCCGAUCUAGUGUUGAAUGGACGACACCUCCGCGUUCAGCACACGUACAACUUGAUGAUGCAUUCACCUCCUCGAUCCAGCGAGCGAUGGUGAAUUAGAGGUUGAGUACUCCGGUAGCACAACGGCAUGGUGGUGACGGUGGUGGUGCAAUUUUAGCACGACUUCGCCAAGCACUGCUGUGAUUGCUAUGGUUGGGAAUUACUACGAGAGAGAGAGAGAGGUAGGGUGCCGCCAAGCAAUUGUGUAUUGGUUGCCUCCCUCUCCCUCUCUAUUUAUAGGAGGAAGGGGUAGGUAGGGCUAGCCUUGGCCCCUCCUCCAAGGAGGGAGGGUUCGGCCGAACUAGGGAGGAGUCCUCCUCCCACAAGGGAGGUGGACACCCUAGGGAGGACUCCUCCUCCACCAAGGCACUUCCUCCCACCUACCCAUGGGUGCAUGGCCCUCUUGCGGUCAGUUUCCCAAGCCCACCAGGGGGUGGUGCACCACCUCUCAGGCCCAUGUGUCCCUCGGGAUGGGUGGGCCUCCCCGGUGGACCCCCGGAACCCUUUCGACACUCCUGGUACAAUACCGAAAAACCGUGAAACUAAUCCAGAACCCGAAUACCACUUUCCUAUAUAUAAAUCUUUACCUUCGGACCAUUUCAGAGCUCCUCGUGACAUCCGGGACUCCGAACAACCUUCGUCCACCAGCACUAUAACUCAACUAUCUCUAUAUCGUCACCGAACCUUAAGUGUGCAGACCGUGCGGGUUCGAGAACUAUGCACACAUGAUCGAGACACUCUCCAAUCAAUAACCAAUAGUAGGACCUCGAUGCCCAUAGUGUUGAAAAUAUGCCCUAGAGGAAAUAAUAUUUCCUUGUUCAUGAUAAGUGUCUAUUGUUCAUGCUACAAUUGUAUUAACCGGAAACUGUAAUACAUGUGUGAAUAUAUAGACCACAAAAUGUCCCUAGUGAGCCUCUAGUCGGCUAGCUCGUUGAUCAAUAGAUGGUCAUGAUUUCCUGAUCAUGGACAUUGGAUGUCAUUGAUAACGGGAUCACAUCAUUAAAAGAAUGAUGUGAUGGAUAAGACCCAAUCCUAAGCAUAUCACAAGAUCGUGUAGUUCGUCUGCUAGAGCUUUUAUAAUGUCAAGUAGAGUUUCCUUAGAACAUGAGAUUGUGCAACUCCCGGACACCGUACGAAUACUUUGGGUGUAUCAAGCGUCACAACAUAACUGGGUGAUUAUAAAGAUGCACUACAAGUAUCUAUGAAAGUGUCUGUUGGGUUGGCACGAAUCGAGCAUGGGAUUUGUCUCUGACGGAGAGGUAUCUCUGGGCCCACUCGGUAAUACAUCAUCCUAUUGAGCUCAAUGUGACUAGGUAGUUAGUCAUGGGAUCAUGUGUUACAGAAUGAUUAAAGAGACUUGCCGGUAACGAGAUUGAACAAGGUAUGGGGAUACCGACGAUUGAAUAUCGGGCAAGUUAUAUACUGAUAGACAAAGGGAAUUGCAUACGGGAUUGAUUGAAUCCCCAACAUCGUGGUUCAUCCGAUGAGAUCACCGUGGAACAUGUGAGAGCCAACAUGGAUAUCCAGAUCCCGCUGUUGGUUAUUGACCGGAGAGGUGUCUCGGUCAUGUGUGCAUGAUUCCCGAACCUGCAGGGUCUACACACUUAAGGUCCGAUGACGCUAGAGUUGUAAUGGGAAUAGUAUGUGGUUACCAAAAGUUGUUCGGAGUCCCGGAUGAGAUCCCGGACGUCACGAGGAGCUCCGGAGGUAAAGAUUUAUAUAUAGGAAGUCAAGAUUUGGUCGCCGGAAAUGUUUCCGGGUUCAUCGGUUCCCGGGGUCCAUCGAGAGGGGCCACAGAGGCGGAGCCAAGGUUGGGACCAGCCACCUAGGUGGGCUGGUUCGGCCGGCCAAGGCCCGAUGGCCAUUUGGGUUGGGAACCCUAGGGCGAAAGGUGACCCACCUCCCAACUUGGGAGGAAAGCCACCUCCACCCUCGCCGCCGCCCCCUCCUUGGCCGCCGCCCACCCUAUAUUGAUCUAGGGUGUGGCCGUCCCCUCUCCCCCCUUCCUCCUAUAAAUACCAAAGGGGUUUUCAGGGCUGCACACAAGAGUUCCUCUCUCCCUCGGCACAACCCUCCCUCUCUCUUCCUCCUCCUCCGCAUCGCUUGGCGAAGCCUUGCCGGAGAACCACAUAGCUCCACCACCACCACGCCGUCAUGCUGCCAGAGCUCUCCAUCAACUUCCCCUCUCCCCUUGCUGGUUCAAGGUAGAGGAGAUGUCACCGGGCUGCACGUGCGUUGAACAUGGAGGCGCCGUUGUUCAGCGCUUUGGAUCCUAUCUACCGCGAUCUGAAUCGAUGUGUGUACGACUCCAUCACCCGCGUUCAUAGUAACGCUUCCGCUUAGCGAUCUUCAAAGGUAUGAAGAUGCUCCACCCCUUGCUCAUUGCUAGCAUCUCCUAGAUCGAUCUUGGUGUUUUCUAGGAAUUUUUUUGAAUUUCUCCCUCGAGCCCCAACAGUGGCAUCGUGAGCUAGGUCCAUACGUAGAUUCUAUGCACGAGUAGAACACAAAAGUUGUGGGCGAUGAUUUUGUCAAUUUAUUUCAGUUACUAGUCCAAUAUUUUCUCGACGGUAUUGUGGGAUGAAGCGGACCGGGCCGACUUUACACGUACGCUUACGUGAGACUGGUUCCAUCGCCUGACAUGCACUUGUUGCAUAAGGUGGCUAGUGGAUGUCUGUCUCUCCCACUUUAGUCGAAUUGGAUUCGAUGAAAAGGGUCCUUGUGAAGGGUAAAUAACAUUGGCAUAUCAACGUUGUGGCUGUCACGUAGGUAAGAAACGUUCUUGCUAGAAACCCUAACCAGCCAAGUAAAACUUGCAACAACAAUUAGAUGACGUCUAACUUGUUUUUGCAGGGUAUGCUAUGUGAUGUGAUAUGGCCAAAAGGAUGUGAUGAAAUAUAUGUGAUGUAUGAGAUUGAUCAUGUUCUUGUAAUAGGAAUCACGACAACCGGCAGGAGCCAUAGGAGUUGUCUUAAAUUUUUGUAUGACCUGCAUGUCAAUCUUAAUAUCGCCAUAUGAUUACUUUACUUUAUUGCUAACUGUUAGCCACAGUAGUAGAAGUAAUAGUUGGCGAGACAACUUCAUGGAGACACGAUGAUGGAGAUCAUGGUGUCGUGCCGGUGAUGGUGGUGAUCAUGCCGCGCCCGAAGAUGGAGAUCAAAGGUGCUAGAUGACAAUGGCCAUACCAUGUCACUAUAUGAUUUGCAUGUGAUGUUUGUCAUGUUUUUCAUCUUAUUGCUUAGAACGACGGUAGCAAAGAUAAGAUGACCCCUCAUUAAAUUUCAAGAUAAGUAUUCCCUAAGUGUUCACCGUUGCGAAGGAUCAUUGUCUCGAAGCACCAUGUGAUGAUAGGAUGUGAUAAAUUCUAACGCUCAUAUACAACGGGUGUAAGCCAGAUUUACACACGCAAAACACUUAGGUUGACUCGAAGAGCCUAGCAUGUACAGACAUGGCCUCGGAAUACGAGAGACCGAAAGGUCGAACAUGUGUCGUAUGGAUGAUACGAUCAACAUGGAGAUGUUCACCAUUGAUGACUAGUCCGUAUCGCAUGAUGAUCGGACACGGGCUAGUCAACAUGGAUCAUGUAUCACUAAGAUGACUGGAAAGAUGUUAAUCUAAGUGGGAGUUUAUUAAAUAAUUUGAUUAAAUGAACUUAAUUAUCAUGAAAUUAGUCUAAAAAUGUCUUUACAAUAUUGUAGAUCCAAUGUCCAACGCUCAUGUCAACCUCAAUUUCAACGCGUUCCUAGAGAAAACUAAGCUGAAAUACGAUGGUAGCAACUAUGCGGACUGGGCUCGUAAUUUAAAGCUCAUCCUCAUGGCUUCCAAGAAGGCAUAUGUCCUUGAUGCACCGUUAGGUGACCCUCCCGUUCUCGUAGCAUCCCAGGACGUUUUGAAUGCCUGACAAUCGCGAAGUGAUGACUACUCUCUGUUUCAGUGCGACAUGCUUUACAGUUUAGAACCGGGGCUCCAAAAGCGUUUUGAUCAACAUGGAGCAUAUGCGAUGUUCGAGGAGCUGAAACUGGUUUCCCAAACUCAUGCCCGGGUCGAGAGAUAUGAGGUCUCUGACAAGUUCCUCAACUUUAAGAUGGAGGGAAAUAGUUCUGUCACUAAGCACAUACUCAGAAUGUCUGGGUUGCACAUCUGUCUGUCUCAGUUGGAAGUUAAUCUUCCGGAUGACGUAGUUAUUGACAGAAUCCUCCAGUCACUACCACCUAGCUACAAGAGCUUUGUGAUGAAUUAUAACAUACAAGGGAUGGAAAAGACCAUUCCCGAGUUAUAUUCAAUGUUGAGAUAAGCGGAGGUGGAAAUCAAGAAGGAACAUCAAGUGUUGAUGGUGAAUAGGACCACGAGUUUCAAGAAAGGCAAGGGUAAAAAGAACUUCAAGAAGGACAACAAAGCAGUUGCCGCGCUGGUAAACCGGUUGCCAGGAAGAAGCGCAAGAAUGGACCCAUGCCUGAGACUGAGUGCUAUUAUUGCAAGGGAACCGGUCACUGGAAGCGGAACUACCCCAAGUACUUAGUGGAUAAGAAGGCCGACAACGUCAAAGGUAUAUAUGAUAUACAUGUUAUUGAUGUGUACCUUACCAGCGCUCGUAGUAGCUCCUGGGUAUUUGAUACCGGUGAUGUUGCUCACAUUUGCAACUAAAAACUGGAACCGAGGAUUAAGCGGAGACUGGCAAAGGACGAGGUGACGAUGCGCGUCGAGAAUGGUUCCAAGGUCGAUGUGAUCGCUGUCGGCACACUACCUCUACAUCUACCUUCGGGAUUAGUUUUAAACCUCAAUAAUUGUUUUUUAGUACCAGGUUUGAGCAUGAACAUUGUAUAUGGAUCUCGUCUAAUGCGAGAUGGCUACUCAUUUAAAUCUGAGAAUAAUGGUUGUUCUAUUUAUAUGAGUGAUAUGUUUUAUGGUCAUGCCCCGCUGGUCGAUGGUAUAUUCUUGAUGAAUCUUGAACAUGAUGUUAUACAUGUUCAUAGUGUGAGUACCAAAAGAUGUAAGGUUUAUAAUGAUAGUCCCACAUACUUGUGGCACCGCCGCCUUGGUCAUAUCGGUGUCAAACGCAUGAAGAAACUCCAUACAGAUGGACUUUCGCUUGUCGAUGGUUUAUUCUUGAUGAAUCUUGAACAUGAUGUUAUACAUGUUCAUAGUGUGAGUACCAAAAGAUGUAAGGUUGAUAAUGAUAGUCCCACAUACUUGUGGCACCGCCGCCUUGGUCAUAUCAGUGUCAAAUGCAUGAAGAAACUCCAUACAGAUGGACUUUUGGUGUAACACCCCGGACACACCCACCGACGGUCGUUACUCCUGGGGGAUCUAGACUGGCCCCACAUAUCAAUACUAGUAUUUUCUGCGCACUUUGUCCUCACUCAUGCGCACCCGGGAUCAACUUCCCGGUCGGUCACCCAUCCUAGAACUACUCCAAGCUGAGCACGUUUAACCUAAGAGUUCUGUUCGAAUGGGCUUCCGGAAAAGAAGGAAUUCCUUAUUGAUAUGAGUAGUCUAUCAUCCCUAAUAUGCCAGGCUAUCACAUACACCACCACUCAGAGGAACCGACGUCCUCGUCGGGCCACAUGAGCGUUCCCUCUUGGCACAAACGUCUGUGCUUCCAGUCCAAUACAUGUGCCAUGCCGUGUGCCACGACGGGUCAUAAACGUCAUGAACAACAUGACCGCACACCUAUCCGCAAACAUCCGUGUCGGCUCUGAUACCACAAACUUGUAACACCCCGGACACACCCGCCGGCGUUCGUUACUCCUGGCGGGAUCUAGACUGGCCCCACAUAUCAAUACUAGUAUUUUCUGCGCACUUUGUCCUCACUCAUGCGCACCCGGGAUCAACUUCCUGGUCGGUCACCCAUCCUAGAACUACUCCAAGCUGAGCACGCUUAACCUAAGAGUUCUGUUCGAAUGGGCUUCCGGAAAAGAAGGAAUUCCUUAUUGAUAUGAGUAGUCUAUCAUCCCUAAUAUGCCAGGCUAUCACAUACACCACCACUCAGAGGAACCGACGUCCUCGUCGGGCCACAUGAGCGUUCCCUCUUGGCACAAACGUCUGUGCUACCAGUCCUAUACAUGUGCCAUGCCGUGUGCCACGACGUGUCAUAAACGUCAUGCACAACAUGACCGCACACCUGUCCGCAAACAUCCGUGUCGGCUCUGAUACCACAAACUUGUAACACCCCGGACACACCCGCCGGCGUUCGUUACUCCUGGCGGGAUCUAGACUGGCCCCACAUAUCAAUACUAGUCUUUUCUGCGCACUUUGUCCUCACUCAUGCGCACCCGGGAUCAACUUCCUGGUCGGUCACCCAUCCUAGAACUACUCCAAGCUGAGCACGCUUAACCUAAGAGUUCUGUUCGAAUGGGCUUCCGGAAAAGAAGGAAUUCCUUAUUGAUAUGAGUAGUCUAUCAUCCCUAAUAUGCCAGGCUAUCACAUACACCACCACUCAGAGGAACCGACGUCCUCGUCGGGCCACAUGAGCGUUCCCUCUUGGCACAAACGUCUGUGCUACCAGUCCUAUACAUGUGCCAUGCCGUGUGCCACGACGUGUCAUAAACGUCAUGCACAACAUGACCGCACACCUGUCCGCAAACAUCCGUGUCGGCUCUGAUACCACAAACUUGUAACACCCCGGACACACCCGCCGGCGUUCGUUACUCCUGGCGGGAUCUAGACUGGCCCCACAUAUCAAUACUAGUCUUUUCUGCGCACUUUGUCCUCACUCAUGCGCACCCGGGAUCAACUUCCUGGUCGGUCACCCAUCCUAGAACUACUCCAAGCUGAGCACGCUUAACCUAAGAGUUCUGUUCGAAUGGGCUUCCGGAAAAGAAGGAAUUCCUUAUUGAUAUGAGUAGUCUAUCAUCCCUAAUAUGCCAGGCUAUCACAUUUGGAGUCUCUUGAUUUGGAAUCAUUUGACACGUGCGAACCGUGCCCCAUGGGCGAGAUGACUAAGACUCCGUUCUCCGGAACAAUGGUGUGAGCAACCAACUUGUUCGAAAUAAUACAUAUCGAUGUAUGCGGUCCAAUGAGCGUCGAGGCUCAUGGUGGCUAUCGUUAUGUUCUCACCCUCACUGAUGACUUGAGAAGAUAUGAGUAUGUCUACUUAAUGAAACACAAGUCUGAAACUUUUGAAAAAUUCAAGGAAUUUUAGAGUGAGGUAGAGAAUCAACGUGACAAGAAAAUAAAGUUCCUACGAUCUGAUCGUGGAGGAAAAUAUUUGAGUCAUGAGUUUGACACGCAAUUAAGAAAAUGUGGAAUUGUUUCACAACUCACGCCGCCUGCACACCUUAGCGUAAUGGUGUGUCCGAACAUCGUAAUCGCACUCUAUUGGAUAUGAUGCGAUCUAUGAUGUCUCUUACUGAUUUACCGCUAUCAUUGCAUUGGAAACUGCCGCAUUCACUUUAAAUAGGGCACCGUCUAAAUACGUUGAGACGACACCGUGUGAGUUAUGGUUUGGAAAGAAACCUAAGCUGUCAUUUCUAACAGUUUGGGGCUGCGAUGCUUAUGUGAAGAAACUUCAACCUAAGAAGCUCGAACAGAAAGCGGGAAAAUGUGUCUUCAUAGGAUACCCUAAGGAAACUGUUGGGUAUACCUUCUAUCUUAGAUCCGAAGGCAAAAUCUUUGUUGCCAAGAACGGAUCCUUUCUAGAGAAAGAGUUUCUCUCGAAAUAAGUAAGUGGGAGGAAAGUAGAACUUGAUGAGGUAAUUGUACCUCCUCUCGAACCGGAGAGUAGCGUAGCGUAGGAAAAUGUUUCUAUGGUGCCUGCACCGAUGAUACGUCUCCAACGUAUCUAUAAUUUUUAAUUGUUCCAUGCUAUUAUAUUAUCAACUUUGGAUGUUUUAUAUGCAUGAAUACGAUAUUUCAUAUUAUUUUUGGGACUAACCUAUUGACCUAGAGCCAGUGCCAGUUCCUGUUUCUUUCCUUGUUUUUGACCUUUUUCAGAUAGGAAUAUCAAACGGAGUCCAAACGGAAUAAAACUUUCGCCGUGAUUUUUUAUGGAAAAUAUAGAAAAUACCGGAAGAAAAAGAUACCGGAGAGGAGUCCCGAGGAAGCCACGAGCCAGGGAGGCAUGCCCACCCCCCUGGGCGCGCCUGGGGGGCUCGUGACUCCCUCGUGGGUCCCCUUGACCUGUUCUCGAUGCCAUCUGGUCUUAUAAAUAUAGAAACCUCCAGAAAUAAACCUAGAUCGGGAGUUCCGCCACUGCAAGCCUCUGUGGCCACCAAAAACCAACCGGGAGCCCGUUCCGGCACCCUACCGGAGGGGGAAUCCAUCUCCGGUGGCCAUCUUCAUCAUCACGGCGAUCUCCAUGACGAGGAGGGAGUAGUUCACCCUCGGGGAUGAGGGUAUGUACCAGUAGCUAUGUGUUUGAUCUCUCUCUCUCUCGUGUUCUUGAGAUGUCUUGAUCUCGAUGUACCGCGGGCUUUGCUACUAUAGUUGGAUCUUAUGAUGUUCUUCCCCCUCUCCCUUCUUGUAAUGAAUUGAGUUUCCCCUUUGAAGUUAUCUUAUCGGAUUGAGUCUUUAGGAACACGUGAUGUAUGUCUUGCACGUGUCUAUCUGUGGUGACAAUGGGAUAUUCAUGUGAGUACUUGAUGUAUAUUUUGGUGAUCAACUUGCGGGUUUCGUGACAUCGGGAACCUAUGCAUAGGGGUUGGCACACGUUUUGACUCUCUGGUAGAAACUUUGGGGCACUCUUUGAAGUUCUAUGUGUUGGUUGAAUAGAUGAUUCUGAGAUUGUGUGAUGCAUAUCGUAUAAUCAUGCCCAUGGAUACUUGAGGUGACAGUGGAGUAUCUAGGUGACAUUAGGGUCUUGGUUGAUGUGUGUCUUAAGGUGUUAUUCUAGUAUGAACUCUAGGAUAGAUUGAACGGAAAGAAUAGCUUCGUGUUAUUUUACUACAGACUCUUGAAUAGAUCGAUCAGAAAGAAUAACUUUGUGGUGGUUUCGUACCCGACAAUAAUCUCUUUGUUUGUUCUCGGCUAUUAGUGACUUUGGAGUGACUCUUUGUUGCAUGUUGAGGGCUAGUUACAUGAUCCAACUAGAUCAUGAAAGGCGCGUGUUGCUGCGCCCGUCUAUUAUGAAUUUAGGAUGAAAUUAUUAUCGAUAUAUUUGUAUAACAGUAAUUAUUUUAUUGUGGUUUGCGAUGUUUAUUUUAUUGCAUUUUUUUUAUUUUUUUGAAAAAUUUGUGGUGUUAUGGGCCACAUAAUAGUAAAUUUCUUAUUUGUGUGUAUUAUUUAAAUUAGACUGAUAGGGGCAUGCAUAGGUAUUAAUACUUUUGCAGCAGCAAUUUUUGUGUAUUAAUGUGUAUGUUGAACAUUUUUAGUGAGGGUUUAAUUCUGUAUAUUUAUGUAGGAUCGUAAUCGCUUAAGAUAUAUUUGUAUUACAUUAAUUAUUUUCUUAUGGUUUGCGAUCUUUAUUUUGAUGCAAUUUUUUGUUUUACUUUUUGGAAAAUUUGGGGUGUUAUGGGCCACAUAAUAGUAAUUUUGUAAUUUGUGUGUAAUAUUGUAAUUGGGCUGAUAUGGGCCUGUUUAGCUAUUAAUACUUUUGCGUCCGCAUUUUUUGUGUAUUGAUGUGUAUGUUGAACGUUUUUAGUGAGGCAUUAAUUUGGUAUUGAUCUAGGAUAGGAAUGGCUGUAGGUUUUGCAUUAGCAUUUGUAACUUUGUUGACCUUUGUAUUUAUGAACAGUAGUUAUAAGUAGAGGGACGUUAGUAGCUUACUUGCUCUAUAUAUAUACACCAUCCUUUGUGUUUGUUUCGAUGUUGGUGUAUGCAGUUCUUAGUUUGUGAGCUGGACUUAAUUCUUUUUCAGUUGUGUUGGUUGUAGGUACGAUUAUAUUUGUUAAACUUUGUUGUCUUUAAUUCUUUAUUUUUUUGAAUAAUGAGUAAUAGUUGUAUGUUAAAUUUAUUGAAAUUUAUUGUGUAUUGUAGGUUUGUUGUUCGAAUAAAGUUAGCGUGAAUGGAUGGUGUUGAAACAGGUAAUAUAAAUUUAUUUGUUUAAUUAUGUAUGUUUCAUUUGUGUAGUCGCAUAUAUUUUGUAGAUGACGUAUGGAAAAUAUGAUUUUUUUACCCUGGAUGGGCUGAGAAAAUAGGCCCAUUUCACCCGAUAACACGGUUUCGGCCACCGGAGCAGCGGCCCAUUAGGACAGUCGGGCCGACGAUGAAAAAGUGUGCUGGAGGUGGUGGUAUACAUCACAUCCGACGGCUAGAAAUGACCCGAUCGUCUAAAUGGACGGCUAAUAAAGCAAAACACUGAGAGGGCUCGCUUUAGGUUCAGUUUUACUGUCCUAAAUUAUGUUAUCAUUGUUGAGAGAAUUUCACUAGUGAAAGUAUGAACCCUAGGCCUUGUUUCCACGCAUUGCAAUACCGUUCGUGCUCACUUUUAUUAUUAUUUACCUUGCUGUUUUUGUAAUUUCAGAUUAAAAAAACCUAUAUCUACCAUCCAUAUUGUACUUGUAUAACCAUCUCUUCGCCGAACUAGUGCACCUAUACAACUUACCAUUGUAUUGGGUGUGUUGAGGAUACAAGAGACUCUUUGUUAUUUGGUUGCAGGGUUGCUUGAGAGAGACCAUCUUCAUCCUACGCAUCUCGCGGAUUGAUAAACCUUAGGUCACCCACUUGAGGGAAAAUUUCUACUAUCCUACAAAUCUCUGCACUUGGAGGCCCAACAACGCCUACAAGGAGAAGGUUGCGUAGUAGACAUCAAGCUCUUUCCUGACGCCGUUGCCGGGGAGGUUACCGCAUCUUCUAGUUUCUUGUUUUAUCACUAGUUUAGUCUAUAAAAGAAAACUAUAAAAAAAUGGAAUUAAGGUUGCCUCAUAUGCCUCAUCUUUUUAAUGUCUUUCGUGAAAAUGAUGGGAAGGAAAAUUGUGCUCAAGUGCUAGAAGAAGAAUUACAUAGAAUGCUUGGCAUAAAAUAUCUGAAUGAUGAGCAUGAUUGCCAUGUUGUUAGUAUGAAUACUUUGAAUAUACAUGAUGCUAAUGAUAUGCAAAGCCACAAGCUUGGGGAUGCUAUGUUUGAUGAAGAUGAUCUUUUUAGUUUCCCCAGUUUGAAUGAUCAAAAUUAUUAUGAUGAAAGCAUGCCCCCUAUCUAUGAUGAUUAUUGUGAUGAUACUUAUGCUAUAAAUAAGAAUGAUAAUAAAACUUGUCACAAUUAUGAGUACCCUCUUAGUGAACAUUACUCUUUUAAUACAGAAACAAUUCGUAGUGUUCAAGUCUUUUACGAUACUCCCACUACUAUUGAUGAGAAUAAAUUUCCUUAUGUGGAGAGUAGUAAAAUUUCUAUGCUUGUAGAUCAUGAAAAGAAUGAUUUAGGUGCUGGUUAUAUUGUUGAAUUCAUUCAUGAUGCUACUGAAAAUUAUUAUGAGAGAGGAUCAUAUGCUUCUACGUAUUGCAAUAAUAUCAAGUUUCCCCUCUAUGUGUUGAAAUUUUUGAAGCUAUGCUUGUUUUGCCUUCCUAUGCUAGAUGAUUAUUUCUCCAAUAAGUUGUUUGUUCACAAAAUCCCUAUGCAUAGGAAGUGGGUUAGACUUAAAUGUGUUAGUCAUAUGCUUCAUGAUGCUCCCGUUAUGUUUCAAUUCUUAUCUUCUAUGUGAGCAUCAUUGAAAUCAUCAUGACUAGCUUGAAAGGCAUUAAAGAAAAGUGCUUGUUGGGAGACAACCCAAUAUGUAUCCUUACUGUUUUUUGUGUGUUAACAUGAUUAAGCUAUUGUAUUAAUCAUGUUUUAUUGCCUUAGUUUCAAUAAAGUACCAAGUAAAGCCUUUAUGAUUAGUUUGGGUGAUAGUUGUUUGAUCAUGCUGAAAAAGACAGAAACUUUGCGCUCGCGAAAUCAUUUCUAAUUUCUAUCCAGAGAGUGAUUUUUGGUUGAUUCUUCUUGCUGCUGAUUGAUAUAAAAAAUUCCUUAAUUGUCAUAAUUGUUUCAGAAUUUUUGGAGGUUGAUACGUCUCCAACGUAUCUAUAAUUUUUGAUGGUUUCAUGCUAUUAUCUUGUCAAACUUUGGAUGUUUUAUAUGCCUUUUAUAUCUUUUUUGGGACUAACUUAUUAACUCAGUGCCAAGUGCCAGUUCCUGUUUUUCCGUGUUUUUUACCCUUUUCAUAGGAGGAUUUGAAACAGAGUCCAGACAGAAUAAAACUUCCGAAAAGAUUUUUUCCGAAACAGAAGAAGAUCGGGAGACUUGAGAACCAAGGCAGGGGGUCCCCAGGGACCCCACAAGCCCCCUAGCCGUGACCAGGGGGAGGCCGCACCACCCUGGCUUGUGGGCCCCCUGGACCUCCUCUUCCCUAGGUCUUUGGCCUAUAUAUUCCCUAAAAUCCCAGAAACAAAAUCAAAGGAGCCACGAAAACACUUUUUCGCCGCCGCAAGCUUCCGUUUCCGCGAGAUCUCAUCUGGAGACUUUUCAGGUGCCCUGCCGGAGGGGGUUUCGGAGACGGAGGGCCUCUUCAUCAACACCAUUGCCUCUCCGAUGAUGCAUGCGUAGCUCACCACAGACCUACGGGUCCAUAGCUAGUAGCUAGAUGGCUUCUUCUCUCUCUUGGAUCUUCAAUACAAAGUUCUCCAUGAUCUUCAUGGAGAUCUAUCCGAUGUAAUCUUCCUUUGCGGUGUGUUUGUCGAGAUCCGAUGAAUUGUGGAUUUAUGAUCAGAUUAUCUAUGAAUAUUAUUUGAGUCUUCUCUGAUUUCUUAUAUGCAUGAUUUUAUAUCCUUGUAAUUCUCUUCGAGUUGUAGGUUUUGUUUGGCCAACUAGAUCUAUGAUUCUUGCAAUGGGAGAAGUGCUUGGUUUUGGGUUCAUACCAUGCGGUGACCUCUCCCAGUGAGAGAAGGGGCAGCGAGGCACGCAUCGUGUUGUUGCCAUCAAGGGUAAAAAGAUGGGGUUUUCAUCAUUGGUUUGAGUUUAUCCCUCUACAUCAUGUCAUCUUGCUUAAGGCGUUACUCUGUUCAUCAUGAACUCAAUACACUAGAUGCAUGCUGGAUAGCAGUCGAUGUGUGGAGUAAUAGUAGUAGAUGUAGAAAGUAUCGUUCUACUUGUCUCGGACGUGAUGCCUAUAUGUAUGAUCAUUGCCUUAGAUAUCGUCAUGACUUUGCGUGGUUCUAUCAAUUGCUCGACUGUAAUUUGUUCACCCACCAUGUUAUUUGCUAUUUUGAGAGAAGCCUCUAGUGAACACUAUGGCCCCCGGGUCUACUCAACAUCAUAUUUUCAGCCUUACACUUUUACUUUGUUUUGCUUUCCGCUUUCAGUUCUCACUUUGCAAACAAUCUUGAAGGGAUUGACAACCCCUUUAUAGCGUUGGGUGCAAGCUCUUUUGUGUUUGUGCAGAUACUCUAGACUUGACGUGAUCCUCCUACUGGAUUGAUACCUUGGUUCUUAAACUGAGGGAAAUACUUACCGCUCCUGUGCUGCAUCACCCUUUCCUCUUCAAGGGAAAAACCAACGCAAGUCAAACCUCCGUCAACGUGACAAUUUCUGGCACUGUUGUUUGAGAAGUAGCAGAAGGAUUUCUGGCGCCGUUGCCGGGGAGGAUCGAGUCAAGAUCUCAUCCAAGUAAGUGUCGCAAACUCAUCUCUUGCAUUUACUUUGUUUGCCAGUUGCCUCUCGUUUUCCUCUCCCCCACUUCACCAAUUUGCCGUUUUCAUUUGCCUUUUUCGUUCACCCGUUUCUCUCGCUUGCUUUUUGUUCGUUUGUGUGGGAUAGUCUAUCCAUGGCUAGACCAACCGCUUUGAACAAUACUCCCGAGAACGAACUUCUCAAUUUCAAGCAAAAUGAGGAAGAAAACUUAAAGGACGCUUGGUAUAGGAUUUGCAAUGCUCAGAGUAGAUCUACUCGUAAGCAAUCUACUACCGUCCUGCUUCGUAGUUUUUAUGUGGGUAUUUCUCCUUAGAAUAGGUAUAUUCUUGACACCAUCGUAGGCGGAAAUUUCUUGGGUAGCCAUACCGUUGAUUCUUACGGAGCUGUAAUAAAUUUGGUAGGCUCACCCCCACUCAUGGUUAAUGGAACUACCUUAACUCUCGAACAUGUGAUGCGUAGGCUAGACGCCAUUGAAAAUAAAGUUUCUACUAUUGAACUCAUUGAGAAUUUGGAUAAAAAGAUCCACAAUCAAAUCACUCAGUACGGAUCCAAGGUGGGAAUGGUUUUGAAAAAUUUAAAGGAGAAGGAACCCACAGUUAACGAAAAACUAGGUCAUGAUUCUGCUAGGAUUGGUAAACUAGAGGAUGUUAUAACCAACUUGGGUUCUGCUUUUGCCGAUGUGCAGAAUACUCCAAAUUUUGCCCACAAUAAGGCAUCAAGUCCGUUUUUGUUCCUAAAGUUAGUGGUGAAUCAUCUAGUAAGAAAGAUGAAGCUCUUAAGAUGAUGAAUGAUCGCGCUACUUAUGGUUUGAGCAUCAAAGACGACGAUACGUGAUUCUAUCGCCUUAUGCCUAGCUUAGGGCUUUAAACAAUAGCGCUUGUUGGGAGGCAACCCAAUGAAAUUAUCCCUUUUCUUUCUGUUUUGUUGCGUACACAGCAUCAUAAUUCUGUUAUGACUGUGUCUUUUGUGUUUCUUUUUGUGUUUGUGCCAAGCAAAGCCUUUAUGAUAGCUUGGGUGAUAGUUGUUUGAUCAUGCUGGAAAAAGACAGAAACUUUCUGCUCACGAAAUUAUUUUUCAUUUCUAUCCAGAAAGAGAUUUUGAGUUGAUUCUUUUUGAUGCUGAUUGAUAUACAAAUUUCCCCUGCUGUCGUAAUUUUUCAGAAUUUUUGAAGUAGAAGUAUACGAAGUAUACAGAUUGCUACAGACUGGUCUGUUUUUGACAGAUUCUGUUUUUGUUGAGUUGGUUGCUUGUUUUGAUGAAACUAUGGAUAGUAUCGGGAGGUACUAGCCAUGGAGAAGUGAAAAUACAGAAAUAUAACACCAAUAUAAAUAGAAUUCAAGUUUUCUACAAUACCUAAGGAAAUGGUAGUUUUUUUUCUUAUGCUAAUGAUAUCACGAGUUUCUAUUUAAGUUUUGUGUUAUGAAGUUUUCAAGUUUUGGGUGAUGUUCUCAUGGACAAAGAGAUAAAGAGUGGAAAGCGCUCAAGAUUGGGGAUGCCCAAGGCAUCCCAAGACAAUUCAAGGACACCAAAAAGCCUAAGCUUGGGGAUGCCCCAGGAAGGCAUCCCCUCUUUCGUCUUCAAUCCAUCGGUAACGUUACUUGGGGCUAUAUUUUUAUUCACCACAUGUUAUGUGUUUUUGCUUGGAGCGUCUUGUAUUCACCACAUGUUAUGUGUUUUUUCUUGGAGCAUCUUGUAUCGUAGGAGUCUUUUAUUUUUGUUGUGUCACAAUCAUCCUUGAUGCACACCUAGAGAGAGAGACAUGCACUCACCGUGAUUUUGUCGAGCUUCACUUAUAUCUUUUGGUAGACAAUUCAGCUCACAUGUGCUUCACUUAUAUCUUUUAAGCUAGAUACUUUUGCUCU